UAUAUAUAUAUAUAUAUAUAUAUAGAGUCCGGCUACUAUACUCUUAUGAGUACGAUCGCCCUCGUACUCAUAAGUUGUUUUCAAUGAUAGAGCUUCCGAAACGACGAUCCACACAGUUAAACGUUAUCUAGAGCAUUUAAAACUGCUAGAAAUUAAAUUUCAUAAAUUACCUUACGAUCAAAAGCUUACAAAAUUGACAAUUUUUUACGUUCGGUAUGGGAUACUUGCUAGUUUAACGGUGGAAAAGAAUCGGAAUAGGUUGAAUUUUUGAUAGAAAAUUCUAUUAACUACCUAGAUAAAGAUCAAUAACUCCGAUCUUAAAUUAAAGGAUCCGAUCAUCCAUUUUUAGGACGUCGUUCGAUUUUGACCAUUCAUUUUAUGCCCGCUUGAUGGACUUUAUUAUGAUUUCGAAAAAUUACGAAAUUUAUUUUCUAGAAGUUUCAAAUACUCUAGAUCAUAUUUAACGGAGUGGAUCGUCGAUUCGGAAGCUCCAUCAUCGAAAGCAACUUAUGAGUACUAAGGGCCCACUACUCAUAAUAGUAUAGUAGCCCUACUCUAUAUAUAUAUAUAUAUAUAUAUAUAUAUAGAGUAGGCUGGUAUGCUUAUGGAAGCAUGGAGCCCUCCGUGCUUCCACUUUGUUUUCGAUGUUCGGACUUUCGAAUCGACGAUCGGCUCCGUUAGAGUUGAUCUGGAGUAUUUGAAGUACCUAGAAAAUAAAUUUUGUGAUUUUUCGAUUCAUUUGCCUAGUGAUCGAAGGGGCUCAAAAUCAAUAAUUUUAAUGGCCGUGGUGAGCCGGUUGCAAGUUUAACGGUGUAGAAAUAUCCAAAUCGCAUGAAAUUUUGAUAGAAAAUUCUUUAUACCAUAUAAAACAAGAUCAAUAACUUUGAUCUAAAAUUUUAAUGUCAUAUCAUCAUAUUUUGUAAGAUUUUUAUUUUCAGCUGUUGAUUUUGAGCCACUUCGAUCACUAGGCAAAUGAUAUCGAAAAAUCGCAAAAUUUAUUUUCUAGAUACUUCAAAUAUUCUAGAUCAAGUCUAACGGAGCCGAUCGUCGAUUCGAAAGUCCGAACAUCGAAAACAAAGUGGAAGCACGGAGCGCUCCGUGCUUCCAUAAGCAUACCAGACGCACUCUCUCUCUCUCUCUCUCUCUCUCUAUAUAUAUAUAUAUAUAUAUAUAUAUAUAUAUAUAUAUAUAUCAGUAACAAACGGGCUCUGUUACUGCCGAUUUGUUUUCGAUGAUGGAACUUCCAAAUCGACAAUCGACAUCGUUGAACAUGAUCUAUACUAGAAGUAUCUAGAAAUCAAAUUUCAAAUCUCUUCGACAUCAUUGACCCAAUGAUUAAAGGAUUGCAAAUUUUGAAAUUUUAAUGGUUUGAUAUUAGGCGUUUUCUCGUUUAACGUUGUAAGAAAUCUAAAUCAAUUGAAUUUUGGUAUCUAUACAUUUGAUCUUAAUUACAGGACUCCUAUCAUAACUUUUUGCAGGAUAUUUAUUUUUAGCCGUACAUUUUUGUGUCCACUUGAUGGACAAGAGAAUAAUAUCGACAAAGCAUGAAAUUUGAUUUUCAAAUAGUUUAAAUCGCUUGGAUUAUGUCCAAAGGUGCUGAUCGUCGAUUUGGAAGCUCCAUCAUAGAAUAUAAAUUGUUAGCAACAAAGCCCAUUUUAUCGAUAGUGUUCUAGCUCAACUCAUUGUGUGUGUGUGUAGAGGGAGAGAGAACGAGAGAGAGAGAGAAAGAGAUUGAGCUAGAGUGCUUUUUGAAGCACCAAGGGUUUUGUGCUAUAGAGAGAGGGGGAGAGAGAGAGAUAAUUGAGCUGGAAUGCUUUUAGAAGCUCUAAGGAUUUUGUGCUAUAGAGUUUUCGGUCCUUAGAUCAAAGACUUUUAGCCAUUAGAUUGAAAGUCAACAAUGGUGGCUCAUAAAGGGACCGCCUAAUGUGCAUGAUCCAAUGGCCAAAAGGAUUUAUGCGAAGGCCAAAAAGGCUAUAGCAUCAACUCCUUGGUGCUUCUAAUAGUAUCCUAGCUAUAGAAGGGCUUCUGUGCUUUUAAAAGUGCGGAGGCCUUUAUACUUCCUCGUUGUUUUUGAUGAUGGAACAUCUGAAUCAAUGAUCGACCCUGUUAGACUUAAUCUAGUGUUUGAAAAGGCGCGAGGUGCAAGACUUACCCGGAGCCUAGGCACGAGGCGCACUGCGAGGCACGAGCCUUAAGAAAUCGAGGCGCACAUUUACUAAGCCUAAUUUAUUUUGAUGUUCUACAUUAAAAAAAUCCCAAAAUAAACAUACAAAAAUAAAAUAACCAUAAAAAAGUAAAGAAAACACGUGCAUAUAGUUUAAUUUGAUGUUUUUGCUGACAUUGCUGUUGUUUUUGCUGCCGCUACUAGUUGUCCUGCUGCCGCUGCUGCUUCUUGCUUGUUCUGGCCACCGUAGCUUGCUGCCGCUGCUUCCUGCUGCUAGCGCAGUUGUUGCUGGAUGCUCGACAAAGAGAGAAUGUGGGAUAACACGAGACAGAGAGGAGGGGGUGAGCGGCUCGUUUCCUAGGGUUUUUUUGGGUUUACUUCAAGAUUUUUUAAGUAUCUUAGUGGGUUAAAGCAUAAAUUCAAAUUCAGGACCCGACAAUCCGAAAACUUGAAUCCAAAAUCCUAUAAACUUAAAUAUUGUGAGGCACGCACCUUAGCAAUAGCGCUGCGCCUUGCUAUUGCUGAGGUGCUAAGGCGCGCGCCUCAGGCACGCCUUUUCAAAUAGUGACUUAAUCCAUACUAUUUGAAUACUAUAUAAAAUACUUAGAAACUAAAUUUCAUAGUUCUUUUAAUAUCAUUUAUGUAGUGAUCGAAAAGUCUCGAAAAUUAACUAUUUUAAUAGUCUAUAUGAGGUGAUUGCAAGUUUAACGGUGUAGAAAUAUACAAAUUGGAUGAAAUUUUGGUAGAAUUUUGUUUUUACUAUCUAAAGUUAGAUAAGUAUCUCUAAUCUAAAAUCCAAGCCCUCUAUCAUUUCUUUUUAUGAGGUUUUUAUUUUAAACCGUUCAUUUUGGAACCACUCGAUCACAAGAUAAAUGAUGUCGAAAAAUUAGAAAAUUUAAUUAUUAGAUACUAUCAAAUAGUGUAGAUCAAGUCUAACAGUGCUGAUUGUCGGUUCGGAUGUUUCAUUAUCGAAAACAAAGUGGAAGCAUGGGAACCUCCAUGCUUAUUUGUAGCCUCACUCUAUACAUAUAUAUGCAUACAUAUAUGUAACCUACAUAUAUGCAUACAUAUAUGUAGCCUCACUCUAUACAUUUAUGUAUGCACAUAUAGGGUCGAGUUAGAAUGCUAUUAAUAGUUGUCGCUAUCAUACAUGGACAACAGAGGGACCCACCAUUGCUGACUCUUGAUACAAGAGCUAAAAAGUUGAUAGCUUGGUGCUAUCUAUAGCAUUCUAGCCACCUCUCUCUCUCUCUCUAUUAUAUAUAUAUAUAUAUAUAUAUAUAUAUAUAGAGAGAGAGAGAGAGAGAGAGAGAGAGAGAGAGAGAGAGAGAGAGAGAGAGAGAGAGAGAGAGUACACAUGCUGUACGGGGUUUUUAGCAAUGUUGAUUGCAGCCCCUUAUUAUCAGUAUAGCAUCAGUGGUCUCUUGUUUCAUGCUCCAAUUCCUUGCAUGAAUCUUUCAAAGCCAUAAUAGCUUGGAAACUCCAUGAGCCAUAGCUCUAAAUUCUGCUUCAAUGCUUGAUCUUGUAGCAAUUAAUUUCUUCUUGCUACGCCACGUGACCAGAUUUCCACCGACAAAAGUACAGUAAUCAGAUAUUGACCUUUCUAUGAUCAAACUAUUCUGCCCAAUCAGCAUCUAGAAAAGCCUCCAUUUUCAGGUCUCCAUUUUUUGAAAAAGAAAAAAGCAAACCUUUACCUGAUAAAGAUUUCAAGUAUCUCAGUACAUAAUUUCUUGCAUGAAUAUAUUAAGCCAUAAUAGCUUGGAAACUCCAUGAGCCAUAGCUCUAAAUUUUGCUUCAGUGCUUGUUCUUGCAACAACCAUUUUCUUCUUGCUAUGCCACGUAAUCAGAUUUCCACCCACAAAAAUAUAGUAAUCAGCGAACUUCUAUCAUCAUACUGUCACGCCCUGGGUCUCUUUUGUAAAGCCUUUUCAGAAAAGGGGUCAGUUUGAAAACAUAGUUAGCAAAAAGUGCCCUUUUUUUUGAAACACAAUCUUGCCCACGGGAUGAAACAAACUUGCCAUAAAUACAGGAACUCUGUCUACGCGGAUAGAGUCUCCGCUGCAUUUGCACGGCGUACCACUGCAAGCACAAACCACAACACACACUUACACAAAUCAGUAAUCACAAUGCACAUACUCACAUAUUCAAUCAGCUAGCAUCCUUAAGAUGAUGCAUGCUCUAAGCACUUCGUAGGCGUGAUGCACAAUACACUAAUCAGCUCUAUUAUUUAAAAGUGUUUUUCAUCCGUAAAUUUUACUUUAAAAACCAAAUAUAGCGAUAAAUCUAGAAAAUCUUUUUGAAAACCGUUUUCCAUACGAAAACUCAUUCUUUUGAAAUUCGACUAUCACGAGGGGUAGAAAACUAUUUUGUCAUAAAAUCACAAGUACACGAUCACCACUAUUAUAGAUAGUAAACAAAUUUCCCUAUUCAUUUAUUCUCAGAAUUAACCAUUCACAUGAAUCAAACAAUCAAAUAACUGAACCACGACAAGUCUAAUUUAUUAACGAAUAACAAAUAGGGGUAAAGAUUAGAAUAACCAAAAUCCUCACCGCCAAAAUCACCUAAAAUGGGGAGGUAAGAAACCAACAAGAGGUCUCUCAGUGGGCAUCGCAAGUUGACGAGGGCGAGUGUACUCACUGGCAAAUAGAGUAUAACCAAAAGGACAAGGACAGUAGCAAAUGAUAAACAGCAGGAAUGAAUAAUAGUAAAGUACCUAUCGCCACUGUAAACAACAGUAGUAAGUGCAUCAACUAUAUAUGUAGUCCAAAUACCCAAUUACCUUGCCAUAUUGGUUUAAAGACCUCAGACGAUGCCGCAAAUUGCUCACCCACCGGUAUAUAAGCCCAGCUAAGCACCUCGCAAGGGGACCUGUCCAAUUAGGUUGCAUAGAUAGAGAUCAUGCAGAGACACUAUGGUAUCGUUUGGUUCGGGGAUGAGCAAAAAGUGGCUAUUCCAAGAAUAGGUAUAAAUUGAGAUAUAAGCGGGGAUUAAAUCAAUUUUGCGUUUGGAUGAAAAUUGGGCUGGGAAUAAAAAAAAAGUGUUUGGUUAGGUAAGAUAGAAUAAGAAUUAAAGUGGGUAGUUAUAAAUAAAAAAUAAUGAUAUUAUCUCUUUCUUUAUAUUAGAAUUUGAAUUUUUAUAUUUUAUAUUUAUAUUUUAGAAUUUAAAAUAUAAACUUUUAAAUUUUAAAAUUUUAAAAUCUCAAAUUUACAAUUUUAAAAAUUAAAAUUUUAAAUUUUAAACUUUAAAUUUAAUAUGAAAUUUUAAUUUAAAAAUACAAAAUAUCAAAUUCUAAAAUAUACAAAAAAUUUAAAUAUUAAAUUUUAAAAUUCAAAAUUAAACAUUUUAAUUUUGUAAUUUUAAAAAUUAUAAAUUUUAAUUUUUUAACUUACGAAAUUUAAAUUUUAUAAUAAAUAAAAAAUUCUCUCUCUCUCUCUCUUUCUCUCUCUCUCUUCACGGGUGGAACAAGCUGGAUUAUCCCAGUUUGUUCCCCAAGACUAGUUCCCACCCGUUAACGGGCUAUCCUAGAAUAGCCCGUUAAGGUGGGAAUUAGUGUUCUCACCAAUUUUUUUUUGUGUUUGGGGGUUAAGGGUGGAAUAAAUCUUUAUACCACCCUUACCUCCCCAACCAAACAUGGCCUAUAAGGCUACUAUUAAAUCAUGAUUUAAUAUUGAAUAGAAGUAGAGAACACGAAAUGCUAAGUCUAGUGGUGGAGUGCUCAACAUGUAGUGUGUGUGAAAUCAGUAAAGGAGUAAGGAAAGAAUGUUACUGAGCUAGCACCACUAUCAACUUCAGAUCGAAGCAUCCACCUGUAAUCGUCGAAGCACCUAACACCCACAGUGCACUAGAUUGUCGAUCGGACCUACGAAAGAUCCACAAGCAAGGUUUUAAGUGCCCAUCGGCACGGGCCGUAUCCACCGUGCCGUACCAUGCCAACAAAAUAUCAGCAUGAUACAGAUCCCGUGCCGAUGGCACAAUUCAAAACUCUCUAUUUUUUAAAUUAGUAAGUAAUUUUCUCAAUAAAGUUCAAAAGAUGUGAUAAAAAAACAUAAUAAAUAGUUAGAAUAUUUUGUUGUUAAAAAAAAUAAAUAUUUCAUGUUAUUAUGUGUCGACACACAAGAAUUUUUUUGACCGGCACGCAUCGGCACGACUUGGCACGCACCGUACCGUACCGUGCCGGCAAGUUUCCGGCACGAUCCCGUGCCACGGCAUUUUAAUCCUUGUCCACAAGUUAAAGGCUUAACCCUAGGUGGCUUGAAUAUACCAAUGUCACAAUCUCGAAACCAAGGUUUAAAGUGCCGUGGCACGGAGGCGUGUCACUCUUUCCCUGACAUGAUACGGCGUAGGCACGCUUCCGUACCGACACAUGGUAUGCUUGCGUGUCGAUGGAUAUGCAUAAUCUCCUACUGGCACAUUUUGGCACGGACUUAUUUUAGUGUUUUUGGUUCCAAUAAGCUCUUAUAAUAUUAUUUUGAAAGAUUUAGACAUAAUUAUGAAUAUUUGCUAUGUAUAGCUUACUAUACUCAUCAAUUAACAUGCAUUUAAGCUUUUUGUAUGUAAAGUACAACUAUACUUGCUGCAGAAUAGAAAUUAAAAUAUAAUAAUAAAAUUUACAAGUACAAUAAUUAUUUAAAUUUACAUCUUUACAUGAAGAUGACUACUUAAUUUCACAUAAAUUGUCGCGCUAGAUCAUAUGGCAUAUUGUCAUCUGCAGAUACAAGAUUUAUUUGACAAUAUUGAUAUAAAUAUUGCUGGUAUUGUGAGAAAGUCAUAUAUUCCUGAUAUAUCUCAUUGUAUUGUUGGAGAUAAUCUACAUAUGCAACUGGAUCGUGAAUGUAGUGAACAACAGUCAUCUGUGGCAUAUGGACUGAAACAUCAUAAGGAUAAAGAUUGUACAGAAUAGAAGAACUAUAAUAUGUGUAUGCAUACGUAUCAGUGGACGUAGAUUCACCAUAUGAGCUUUCACUAUGUGAUGGUACAGAUGGAUAGUAACUUGAUUGUUUUUGCUCCAAUUGAUGUGGGAUGGAUUGGGAUUCACUCUGAGUGCCAUGAAUUGAUGCAUCAUAAUCAAAUAUCCCUCCAUAAAGGCCAUGUUGAUAUAAGAGAUACAAUGAUACCGAAGUACUAUCAAACUAUAUGUGCAAAGUAUCAACAUUUCGUGGAUGUCUAGUUGAUUCUGCUUCCAAACUUCUCAUUUCCUCAUAUUCUUAUUGUGAGGACCUCUUAUCUUUUCUACGGUCAUAUACCACUCCAGAUGUUUGACGUGGUCGAGACCCAUGAUCAGCAUCUUGAGUGGCAUGCGUGAAUAUUUGCUCUUCAGUAAAUAUAAGACCACCUCUACCCUCAUGUUGUUUUGGUGGAAUGAAGUCGCCGCCAUUCUUAUUGCUAUCAGUGGUAUCAUCAUCAUCAUUACUACAUUCAUCUUUAGACCGUGGUAAUCCAGAAUCUGUUGAUGUUGAUGUAUCACUAAUUCACUAUCAUCAUCUUGUGGGAGUGCAUUAGGUUCAUCUAAUUGACCCAUCGAGGUCAUUUUUUUCUCUUACCAUUUCGGACAGUCAUUGAAGGCCUCUUUGUGAUAUAAGAUGUUUUCUCCUUUCCAGAUUGACCCUGAGUAUGACGUGAGCGAUUAUGUCCAGGUCGUUGCAUAAGACGGUCAAAUUCUGCAUCAGAGUCAUGUGCAGGAUUUUGGGAUUCUUCUUCCAAAAUUGUUUGUUCUUGCACAUUAUUUUGAGACCUUACUAUAUUCUUGUCAGUCCAUCUUUCAAUAUCACUAAUUCCUACUUCCUCAAUGAUUAUUCUGAAUGAUUGUGGUGGAUCUCUAGGCUCAUCGAGUAACAGGUCCUCUUGAUUGUCUCUAUCUUGUAGUCAAUCAAGUAUGGGGUCUGAUUCAUCAUUGAUAAGGUUUGUAUCUGAGAGAUCAUAAGUUUUUAAUUCCUUUUUCUUAUCAUACUCUUCUUUCACGUAUCUUAAAUGGAAGCUCAUAUUAUAGUGGACAUAAACUAGCUUCUCUAAUCAAGCGUAUGUUAAUCGGUUACGCACUUUGGUUGUAGUAGUGCGAAUGUGCUCCAGUUGCAUUCACAUCCACUAGACGUUGUCGUUUGAGAUAAGACACGCACAAGUCUUUUUAAAUGCUUUGCUGAUCUACCAUAUUGUAGCCACCACUCAGCUGUACAAUUAAAAGUUAAAAAUAUAUCAAAUUAGAUUUAUCGUCAGGUGUAAAAUGUAUAAAUUAUGGAGUUACUAGGAUCGGUAUUGUGUCUUCCGUUAAUUGCACCCGCUUUUUCAAAAGUUUCAAAGGAUUCACAAAAUAUUUUUUCCUUUAUUAUGAUAGUAUAAUAAUCAGCAAUCAGCAUAUUAACAUCUAGCAAUUAAUAAUACAUUGAAAAAGUCAUUAUACCCCAUUUAUGGAAAGGGCAGCAUGUGUUGAAUCCCUCUCCAAUCUUUUGAUGACGUUUGUAACGCCUUCAACAGUUCAUCAUCAAAUCCAAUAUUAUAACGAUGGUGGUACAAUAGAUUAAGAUAAUAAUCUAUCAUUAAGAAAGAAAUUACUCCAUUAACAAUGCAAGAAUACAAAUGAACAAUCACUAAUAAAUAGUUUUUUUUUAUAAUUUGUAACUUACCUGCUAGGUGUAGAUCCCGACUUAUCUGAACAUCCCAACGUCUGUCAGUAAUAUUUAGAUAAGAUUGACACCACAACGGAUUAUUUUUUUUGAUAUAUUAUCUUUAGCCAUCCUCAGUUUAUAAUAGACAUGUCCUAUUUGAGGUAUUUUUUCCUGAUCCACUAAACGAAGGACUAUGUAUAGCGGGUCCACAAUAUCAACAAUCUCUUUCACAUAAUAAUCUCAAAACUUGGCAGACAUAAUUAUUUGCUCAAUCAAUUUUACAUCAGCUAUGGAGGUAUAACGAGAUGUUUGCCAUUCAUCUGAUGCAAAUAUGGACUUUAAUCCAUUUUUAUUUUGAAGGAUACUGUUUAGAGCAAUAAAAUUUGUGGCAAAUCGUGUGAUACCAGGACGUAUGAGUUAUCGUCCUAUGAAUAAGGAUGUCAAUGGAUAUGGAUAUUCGAAAUUUUAUCCGAAUUCGAACCCGAAUGAAACGGAUAUAUCCCAUGCUAAAUGGAUAUGGAUUCGGACAUGGAUAUCAAAAAUAGAAACCCGACGGAUAUGGAUUCGGAUAUGGAUUUUGACUGUACCCGACCCGACCCAAACCCGAAUUUAUUUUGUAUUAUAUAUAAUAUAUAUAUAAAAAUUUGAUGUUAUAUUUGAAUUUGUAUUUUAAAAAUUUAGAUUUAAUAUAAUAUAUUUUGAAAUAUUGAAAAAAAAAAUAAUUGUUUCGGGUUCAAAUUUUCGGGUUCGGGUUCGGGUUCGGGUUCGAGUUCGGGUUUCGGAUUUUUGGUUAGGUUCGGGUUUGGAUAUGGAUUUUUAAAAUCUGUCGGGUUCAGGUUCGGGUCUCGAGUUUGGAGUCGGGUUUAGGUUCGGGUUUUUGAAAAUCCGCCCCGAAUCCGAUCCGUUGACAUCUCUACCUAUGAAUUUCACCAUUAAAGCACGGACCGAAACAUGAUUAUACAAAUCCUUUGAUACACAUUGUGUAGUAUCUAUAGUUUUUUUUUACCCGAUUUAUCUCACCAAAGUUGGACAUCAUUAGAUUUAUCUUACUAAAAUAAAUGUGAAUGCCUUUGCAUUAGUAGUUUACUAGCUUUCUUGAAGUUUGGACCAUUGUCCGAUACAACUUGUACCACACAUUUCUUACCAACCUCACCUAAAACUUGUUCCAAUAAUGCAUAUAUAUAGUUGGCAUCUUCAAAUCGACCGGUCGCAUCGACUGAUUUGUAGAAGUUCACGUUGCCAUUACAACAUAUUAAAAAAUUAUAAUGCUCAAUUUUGUCGGUCCUGUCCAACUAUCAUACAUCAAGGUAAAACCAUACAUCUCCCUCUGUUAUUUGAAGUUUUUUAUCCAUGAAUGAAUGUCAUUGACCUUCGCGUCAAGGUAUUUGCUAGAGAUCUCAUACGAUGUUAGGGCUUCAACACUUGGACCCUUCUUUUGUAUGGUAGCGAUCAUUGAUUUAUAAUAUGAAGUGCUUGUCGCAUGGGAAGGAAUAUGACUGAAGUGAAAAAAUUUUGCUAUUACUUGACCAAUUCUGCUUUUUAAUCUUUUUUUAGCUUUGUAUCUAUACACUGUUGUUGAGCAUCUGGGCCAAGAAAUGCCAUUGGGUGUAUAUCUAUAAUAUUUGGAUGUCUUCCACUUUUUUCUUUUGGUCAUUUUUUAAAUCUGUCGAACAUGCGGCUAACAGAACCACUUUGAGCUAAACUAAAUGGUGCAGAGCCAGAUCCAGACCCACCACGAUAUCAAACUGAGAGCGUCCAAAUUGUGCUCUAUGUCGUUGGACUUUAUCUUGCUGCAAUAUUUCUUGUACAGAUGCUUCUAUGACAGCUCUAGUAUCAGCAUUCAAUUCAUCAUCUAUUCCAUCAUAUGGUUCAAGAGGGGGAUAUUCAGCCGCUCGUUUAUCUAGUUCAUCUUUGAUUGUCCCUUGUUUUCUUUUUUGCUACUUUUGAGUAUUCUAACUCAAUUUUCAUUGCAUGUCUUAUCUCUUGAGGGACUUUAGGGCAGUUCGCUACUUCAGAAAAAUCCUCAGUGAUAUGUUUCUUUAGGAGGGUGACACCUUCGUCCAUUCCGAUCAUAUUACAGUAAUUGCACUUCCAAUGAAAUCUAAUUCCCAUUAAUUAUUUGUCCAUGCGGCCAACCAUAUUUUUCUGUUCUUUUAGGUGACAUUAUGAUCUACAAUUAUUGACAUACCGACAACUAACAUAAAAUCUAUUCCAGAAAAAUAAGAAAAAGAACGAUAUGAUGAAAAAAAAAAUCAUAUCUAUCAACUUCGAAAAUUCUUUUGUUUUAUCUUUUUUUAGAAUUACAAAAAUUAUAACAAAUAAAAGUGUAGAAAAUUUUAUUUUUUCUAAAAACUUUUCAAGAUUUAUAUAUUGAUUUGAUUAGAAAGCAUAUAAUGACUAUAAGAACCAGAAUAGGACAGCAAUUACAUUCAUAAUUUUUUUCUUUUUGUUCUUUAAAAAGGUAUUUGAUCAAAAUUUGAAGAAACUAAUUUUUUAAAAAAUUCUUAGAAAACUUAUGAGAAUUGAUUAACUUUUAAAAUUAUUUUGAUUUUUUAUUUCUUUUAUUCGAAUUUUAAUAAUUUAUAAAAUACAAAGUUAGAGAAAUAGUUUUCUAGAAAUUUUAAUUUUUUAAAAUAAUUUUAAAAUAAUUUUAUAUUAUUUUUUAAAAUUAUUGUAGGCUCCAAUUUUUAAAAUCAAAAGACAUCUUUCUUUUGAUCGUAUUACUAUCUUUCUUUUAUAAGAUACAAAGAAAAUAAUUUUUAAAAUAAUUUUUUAAAAUUAUUUCAAAAAAUUAUUUUUUAGAAUAAUUUCAAAAAAAUAUUUUUUAAAAUAAAUUCAAAAAAUUAUUCUCUAUUAAUUUUUUUAGAAAAAUUGUUAGAUCAUCAAAAAAAUAGCAAUAAAUUAAAUGACAAAUAAAUCUAAGUAUCAAUUGAUUUAAUUUUAUCAAUAUUUUAAAUUUUCUAAUGCAACAAUAAAAUUUUAUGACUGAUGUACCUCAAAAUUUGUUUAUAAGAUUGAUUUUGUUCCCUUGAUUCGCUGAAUGCUUCGUGGUGCGAGAAAUUUUGAUAAAAUAAUUUGCGAAAAAAAAGUGGAUGUAUGUAGUGGAUCGGAUAUGUCAAUUAAAAAUUUACCCCUAUAUUGAUAAAUAAAAAAUUAAAUUAAUAAUUUUUUGACUUACCUAAUAAGAAAAUCUGUGAUUUGCAAUGUCUUUUCCUUCUUUUCAAGCAACGGAAAAAAAAGAAGAAAAAUAAUUUUAGAAAGAUACGUAUGAACUAAGAAGAAAAGAAGAGAGAAGAGGAGAAAGUAGCUAAGCACCGGAGAAAGAGAGAAAGAAGAAAGAAAAAGAAGGGGAAAACAAAAGAAGGCGGGGCGCGGGGCGCAUGGGGGGAGGUUGCAUGUAGUAAAAAAGAAGUGCAACAUGAUAAAAAUAAAAAGGAGAAAGGAGAGAUGCUUUGGGUUACCGAAAAAGCAAACCAAAAAAAAGAAAAGAAACCAAAAAGCCAAAAAAAAGCAUCUAGGUUGAAAAGAAAAAGAAAAAGUGCAACAGGACAAAAAUAAAAUGGAGAGAUGAGGGAGGGUGUACCCGGAUCCUUCUUGGUACCCAAAAGAACAAAACAAAAAGAAGAAAAAAAAAACAGUGCCGGCACAGCACAGUGCUACAGCACACACCUGCGUAUAUGUAGUGUGUGCCACGGCCGGGGGGAGGGGAGUGGCAGUGGUCUGAGACCCCCUUGGGCACGGUACGUGCGGCCGGGGUGGCACUUUAAUCUUUAACCAAAACUACCAAAAUUUUCAAAAAAUCCAUCAGAACACUUACGAAACCAUUGAAGUACCCCGGAAAGUACCGAUUUACCCCAUAAACGACCAGCUGAUCCGAAACGCACCAAUUUAGGUGUUCGGGCAGCAAACACACUAUGCUGUUAUAAAUAACUUUAACAGAAAUAAUACUGUUCCGGGUUCUCGGAAAUGCUGUUUUUGACACCGAAAUCCUCCCCCGUUCAUUUGCUUUCUCCGAACACCCGGGACAGCGAGGGCAACCAGCCAACAAGGUUCAACGGCAAUCCUGGGGCAUUCACAUUAAUAAAAAGCGAAACCCAUAUUCUUAACCGCGUUCCGUCAGCGGUUUUGCCGAAAAACGCACUAGAAUCCAAAUCAGACUUCGUGAGGGCCGCCGGACCUUGGACAACCAGUCCAGGGAUUAGAAAUAGUGAUCUCACGCUGCCCGAGGCAGCCACCAUGGCCAAAGUUGCAUAAAAGUCCCUAUUUCCAAUUCUAAUUGCAACAAUAUAAAGAAAAUUAGGCUUUGGUUACUGAAACCCGCGAGGUUUCGAGACCAACCAGCAACACCCGCUGAUAGGUCUCGAUGCGCUGAAGCUUGUGCUCGCUGUCUGGAGCGCGAACGGAGGCUGAGGAGCUCAUCGGGGCUACUUGAACCCUGGUUCUAAAAGUCAUAGGGGGCGACAAUGUCGGAUCCGCCAAUUGGGGCUUCUCCGACAGCAACGAAGGUGAGCACACAGAUUAGUGAUACCUUGAGGUGACCGCGCUCACCCUCCGAAAGAUCGGCGGUCUCUAGGAUGGCUGGAACAGAGGAGUUGGCAGCCAAGAGAGACCUAAGCCUGAGCUAGGGCUGGAGCUAGGUUCUCUUCUCGAGCUCCAGUGGCCCGAGGGUGCAGAGGCUGGCCAGGGGAGAUUGUUGCUGUCGGGAGGAGGCCAACGGUGAUUGUGACAGUGACGGUGGCCGGCAACGGGAUGCGACGGCAGUAGCACUGGAGAAGCCACGGCCAAGAUUAAAGGGGAUUGGGCUAGGGCUCUUGAUUCGACCAAGGCAACUGUCGGAGGAGAGUAGGGAGGCGUCGGCGGGUCCUCGAGAGGCUAGCAAGGCCAGCGGCGACGGCGUUGGACCAAGAGCGGCAGCCGGAACCUCCCAGGAUCGGGCUCAGGGAAGGUUCUCCGGGCGCGGCGGCGCACGACAGCAUUGAGGCGGCUCGGAGGGUGGUGCUGGACUCCGGGGAGUUGGUGGCGCGGGUCCCAAGCGGGGCCGGCUGAGAGGAAGAUGGUUAGGGUGAGAUCAACUUGAGAAGGAGAGAGAGAGGGAUGAGGAGGUGGAUUUGGUGGAGGUUGUGGCCAAGCUCCGGUGGCCGGAAGAGGUUGCCGGUGAUUAGAGAUGCAGCACAGGUGGGAGGAGUCUCCUGUGGCGGCUAGCUUUUUUUAGGGAAAGAGGUGGAAUAGUGUUAAUGGAAACCUAUUAUAUAAUAAUCAGAUUUGGCAAAAACGCAUAAUAACCCCUAAAACCUUGAAGUUUUCAUCUCAGUCCCUCACGACGUGCGUAAGACGCACAGAGGCCCCUCCACGUGUGCAGAACGACGCAUAAAAUAUUAGGGAUUUUUAUAAAAAAUCCAAUUUCCAAUUUGACUCCUCGCAUUUUAUGCUUUUUUGCGCAAUUAUCCACCGGAUCUCAAAACGGACUGUGCCGACACUUCUGGCACUGUCGGACCAUUAAAUUUACGUUUUUGUUUUGUUAGAAACGGUCGUCGAUUCACGAGAAAAGCCUCCCUCUCUUCUGACUUAGAAAUUUGAAUUUAAACAAAUUUCAAGUUCCAGAAUCCCAGAUAUUACACAUACUAUGCUGCCCAAUCUGCAUCUAUGAAAGCAUUAAUUUUCAGGUCUCCAUUUUUUGGGGAAAAAAAAUCAAACCUCAACCUGGUGCAGAUUUCAAGUAUCUGCUUCCAAAUGUGAUGACCUGGGAUCAUGCAUAUAUUGGCUGACAAACACUAACUGCAUGUGCUAUGUCAGGCUAAGUAUGGGAUAAGAUAAAUUAAUCUUCCUACUGGCCUCUCAUAUCUCUCUGUUGACAGCUUCUCCAACAGCAUUUCUCAGAUGACGAAUAACCUCCCUGGGUCAGUCUGCAAGUCUACACCCUAACAUUCAUGUCUCUUGAAGCAAGUCCAUCAUAUAAUUCCUUUGGGAUAAAAAUACUCCACUAUUAGAUCUAGCAACUUCAAUUCCUGACAAACAUGAAGUUUUCCAAGGUCUUCUAUCUCAUACUCACUCGCGAGAUACCUCUUACGAUUAGUUCUAAUUAAUCAUCCCCAGUUACCACAAUGUCAUCAACAUAAACAAUCAAAUUAGUGAUUUUGUUAUUUUUAUGCUUGAUGAACAUUGUAUGAUCUGCAUUGCUUUGUUUAUACCUGACAAUGGGAUCCAAUCGCCACAAAGGUGAACUUGGAAGAUGGGGUCCGAUUGCUUAAUCUAACAGGCAGUAGAUAGCGAUCAUAAUAGCAAUCAGGCCCUUGAUGAUUCCUCUUUUCCUUUUUUUCCCUUUUUUUUUUAAAAAAAUCUUAAUCCCUUAUCCUUAAACAAUGUUUAGAUGCUCCGAUACCAUGUUAAAUAAAGUGAAACAACUAUAUAUCUCCAAAAGCUUAAACAACGGUAGAAUAGUGUUUGAAUAUUUUUGUAUUCAACAGGCCAUUUAUCUCCAAUAACUUAAGCUACUAGACAAUGGUGUUUUAAUAUUUUUGUCUCCAAUAACUUGAGCACUCUUUGUUGGCUUAUACCUUACUAUCUUGUUCUUGCAAUAACUGUUGUCAAGUUAUUACCAAAUUCUUCGAAGAGUGCUGAAUCAUAGACGAAGGAAUUAGCUACUUAGCUGAAUUAUUGAAAAUGUGAAUUGCCUUGGAGUUGUAUAUUUGUUGUCUUCAAUACACGGAGUUAAUUUAAAUUAGGUAUUGUUAAGAAUAUGCCUUCUUUUGAAUCUGGGUUGAGUCAAAUUAAUUAACCCAUUAAGUUGGUUCAUAAAAUAUAUCAAUUGGUUUUGAAAUUGAUUCUCAUUGGCGGAAGAUACGUGCUUAUCUGUAUAAGAUUGAACUAUAUCUUUACCUCGGAAGGAUAAAGAUAUAUUAGGAUCGCACGUAUUAGAAGCAUAGUCGGUUUAUGCUUCUCAAGCCGAGUCCAAUUGAUUGCGGUUGACUUCUUGACCGGGCUAAUGCAUUAUAUAUAUGCAUGCGUUGUGAACCGUAUUGUGUGGCCAAAAUUAAUUAAGUCUUGAGGGCCAUACGACAGCAAGAAAAAGGGAGGCUAAUUAAUUAAGUUCUUGAAGCCUACGGAAGUGCUUCAAGGUGUGCGGCUUCCGCAUGCAUGCAACGUCGGAUUGUUGUUGGCGGCGGAGCGGCGGUUCUCAACCAAUUGCCUGAGCGGUUCGGAUUCUUCGAAGCAACGGCAUAAAGGAAUUUGGUUAGAGUUUCUAUACUUCUCUAAUUUGGUCUUCUCGGUUUUACGAAAAGCUUUUUCGGUAUUUUCUUGGAGUUUUCGUUGGAACAAGAAAGGUGGGAUUCACCAUAAGGUUCUUGGUUUUUUAUCCGGAGAAGACAUAAGGUGUAAGCUUGUACUUUUAUUUCUUCAUAUAGUGGAAUACAUUUCUCUCGCUCUCCCCGUGGACGUAGGCAAUUGCCGAACCACGUAAAUCUUGGUUUCUUCUUUCUGUAUUUAUUUCUUUUACCGUUCGGUCGAUUUUCUCUAUUUUUCGUGCAUCUUUGUUGGUAGCACAUGACGGACGAUCCAUCCGGUUCCCGACAGGUAUUACAUGGAACAGUUCAAAAUUGUAGUUGACCCCCUAAGUUGCAGUGUACUGAUCCUGAGAGAUAAACUUGGCCUAGCGUGACAAGCACCAUAUGAUGCGAUUUCAAAGAAAGUGAGGAGUGUUGCCCUUCAGUAUCAGUUCAAAGCUCGCUAGCUAUUUGCUCUUCGCCACCUUUAUUUGAUUUCUUGGGAGAAUUGAGAAGAGAUGCAAAUUGUCGUAACUGGCUUAAAGAACGGUGGAACAUAAUAUUAGAAGGCACAACAAUUUUCACAGUGCGUCACAAACGCCAAUAUUUUUCCUGCUGCUUGCCAGACCUUAGUGCUUCAAUCACUAUUGUUAUGAUGCAUGACUACCAUAUCAGCUGAGAUUUUCCUUCUUUUUCCUUUCUACUGACAUUCUCUUUUUGAACACUGUUAUUUUCCUUUUCAAGAGAAACAUAUUUUGCCUAAUGUGAAGUUUUCAUUUUCUUUUUCAAUUUCAUACAAAUAUUUAAUUUUUUUUCCCCUCAUGUUUCAGAAGAAACAUAUUAAUUUUUUUUUUCUCAUUUUUUGUUCUCUAGGAUUCUGGCGUCUUGGCAAUCCCCACAGUUCCUGGUCCUCCGCCAAAACUCUCCAUGGAGGCAGCUGCGCUAGAAGACUUCCGUGCUCGGGCAUUUUGCUUGCUUUCUAUUGCUGGCAUGUCCGGAUUCUGCCAGGUACCAGUAGCCACGUUGACUAAAAUUGUUUAUCAAACUGUUCACCAUGAAUGCAAGUUGUUUACUAAAACUAUUUUAUUUUUCUUGCUUUCUAUCCGACUAAACUUUGCAGAUUAGUAUUCCACUUGGAAUGCACAAUAACCUUCCAGUGUCAGUUUCGCUGCUAGCAAAGCAGGGUGCGGACCAUUUUCUUCUUAGUAUUGCAACUGAGCUUUACGCCGCCCUAAAAGAACAGGCGAGCAUGGUGUGGGAAUCCGACAAUUCAACUGCUUAAAAACGUGCUCUGUUGCAGACUGUAAUAUUCGUAACAUCAUUUGUGUUCGCUGAAUACGCGUCAAAGGACUAAGAGGGAUACUGGAUUUUAGUUGGUGGAGAAGGCAAAACUGGCUUACAAGCUUUGUACCGAAAAAUGUUACUUCCCUAAGUAUGCCUUCCUUGUAUCAAUUGAAUAUGUACAGUAGUUUCUUCAUUCAUGUUUGCUGAUAUUUAGCCACCUCUUGUACUUUGUAAUAUUAUGAUGUGAAACUUCGUAGGUAUGCUGAGGGUGCAGCAACCAAACACCUGUAAUUUUAUGUGUACCAAAAAUUUUACUUAUUUAAGUAAAAAUAAUCUCUAUUACGGUUAUUAUUGUGAUUAUCUGUGUGGAUUUGCCGUCAAAAUGUUGUUAAUAUAGAGCGUACAGCAUGUGACAAUCACAUAACUCACUGGACCAUUGAAAAUAGCCACCGGUGCAUAAAAUUGAGGAUGUUUGUUAGUUGUGUUGACUGGUUUAUUAGUGACAAAGUUUCGGUAAGCAAUAGGAACAUGCGACAUUCGGUGGUGUGGUGUUGUCAUCCACGGUUUAAAAAUCUGUUUUGGGGUUUGGUUGAUAAAAUAAGUAAAUAUAGAGUUUUGAAAGGUUAGGUUGUAAAACUUACGCAUAUAGUAGGUGUUUAUGUAGCAUUGCUUGUGGAAUAAAAUGAUUUGCUAAAUUAAGAGUACCAUGAAUCUGUUUUAUUGGCUAAAACUUUCUAGUCUCACCAGCUCAACAGUGCAAGUAAUUGUCGGAUGGCGUUAGCAACUGUGGCUAUCAUAGUUAGCUAACGCCUUGAUGGUUGUGUCCUUGAGGUUCUAAGUUUAAAGUCCAAUUGCUUUAUAUUUUUAGUUGAAUUUAUUUUUUAUAAAAAAAAUUGGAUAACUUGCAACCUUUCUCUAAAAAGAAAGAAUAGAAUCAAAUGUACUCCAAUUGGCUCUAGGGGUUUUCCAAGUUCUGCUUUUAUACACUCGCAGGAUAUUAUAGUUGUGGAAUACUAUUCAUUUGAGUGUUGGAAUAAAUUGUUUUCUUUUUUUUUUUUAGUUUAUUUUAUUGUAUUUUAAAGUUGCUCGUAAAUUUGGAUGUUUCAUCACCGAAAACGAUGCAGAUGUAAAUGGGCCUCUAGGAAGUAUUCUAUGUUUUCAAUUUAUUUUUUUGCAUUUUGAAGUUGCUGGUAGAUUUGGAUGUUUCAUUGCAAAAAAAUGAUGCAGAUCGAUGUAAACAGAUUUGUAAAAAUGUUCUAUUUUAGUAUAUGUAUCUAUACUAUAUAUUAUAUAGGGUCGGUGGAUAAAUCUACAUUUUAGCUAGAAACAAACACGUAUCUAUCAUAAAAAAGAAAAAAAAAAAAUCAAUGUAAGCUAUAUAGAUAACUAACUUGGAAACAAAUGAUGUUUAAAACUAUAACAAUAAUAUAAUUUUCAUUUUAUCUCUUGGAUUAGUUUUUUGGUGCUUAUCUUUUUAUCUCCUUUAUAAUAAGUUGACAGUUCAAAGUACCGUUGUGAUACAUUCCCUAAGUAGGAUAUUUUACACCAGGAGAGAAAAAGCAAAAUACAUGGAUAAAACAAAUUAUAAUUUGUGGGAAAUAGUUGUUGUCUUGAUAACACACGAAACCAACACUCACUAUAUAAAUUUAUAUAAAUUUAUUGAUACAAAAUAUAAUCUCACUAUCCUUGGGAUUACAAUAUUUACAAAAAUAUAUUCUAUAAAUAUACACAUUUAAAUUCAAAUAUUUUCUAUUUGAAGUAGUUGACAUACUUGAGAGAUUGUUAUUUUCGAGUUUUCUCAGUUGAUCAUGAUUUGAAUGCUUGUCAUAGUUAGCAAUUUCUUAAUGUUUGGAAUUUGAUUCAUCUAUAAUCUUUAGACUAUAUAAUUUGACAAUACCUUCAAAAUACAUGGCAUGUCUAUAUUUGCCUAUUCCACGUGGCGGGUUCUCAAUACUUGUCUUCACUCUCUCUCUCUCUUCCCUUCUAUAGGUGGCCCCACCUUUCUCUCUUUUCCCCUCUCUCCUUUCUCUCUCUUUCCUUCUACAGGUGGCCUCACUUCUCUCUUCCUCUUUCUCCUUCUCUCUCUCCCCCCCUCUAAGUGGCCCCACCUUCUCUCUCUUCUCUUCUCUCUCUUUCCUCCUACAGCUGCCCCUUCCUCUCCCUCUCCGCAUCUUCCUUACUCUCUCUGCCUCCUCUCUCUGUCUCUCAUCCCUUCUAUCUCUCUUUGCUCCGCUAGACAGUCCCCCUCUCUCUCCAUCUCUUUUUCGUAGUACCCGCACACUCUUUCCCUCUUAUGUGAGGGAAUUCAAAGUAGGCUUCAGCGGUUUGGGCAGCAACGACGGCGGUAGCAAUAGAUUGGGCGGCGACAGUGACGGUCACCACAGUGACGGGUGGGGGUCACGGCUGCGACGACAACUUGGGCGGUGUUAGUGGCUAAUGCGGCAUCGUCGAACACAAAAAAAAAAACCACAGCUCUAUGUCCUUUUCUUUUUUUCCCCCUUUUUUAAACUUUUCUUCUCUUUUUCUUCUUCUCUGUACCUUUUUCUUUUUUUUUUUUACUUCAUGUUUGAUGACGGCGGCAGCAGUGCGGGACAAGGCUUAGGGACGUCGAUUUGACCUUGAGGAUGGUCAAGGAAGUGGGUGUGUUGAGGUUUUUGAUUUUUUUUUUCUAUGAUUUUUUUUUGCAAUUUUUCAGCGUUGAAUCAGAUUUUUUUUCAUGAAAUUUUUUGUGUUUUUGUGAAUUUUUUAGGUAAAAAAAAAUAGCAAUAAUAUAUUUGAUUUAAAAUUUGAUUUUAUAUAAACUUUUUCACCUUUCUUCUCAAUUUUUUAGUAUAAAAUAUUUGAGAGCUAUGUCGCACUUCAAAAAAAGUAUUUUAGAAAAUCAUCCUAAAGAAAAUAAAUUUUCACUCCAAGAAUUUCAUUGUUUGAUGAUUUCUCUAUUUGACAGCAGCUAUUUUUAUAGUUUAAUCAUUUUUCUAUUUGAAAGCUUUGUCGUACUUCAAUAGUUUGAUUUCAGUAUANAAAAAAAAAAUGCGAAAAAAAAAAAAGAGAAAGAAAAAGAUAGAAAGAGAGAAAAUUUGAAUAAUGGUGUAUGAGAUGAUCCAUGAACUAGGUGCAUGGAGAAAUUUGAGUUCAAAUUUUGAAUCUGAUGCAUAGGUUAAUCCAUGCACCAGGUGCAUAGACUACAAAAAGUGGGAUAUUCUCGUAGGCAUGAAUGGGUAUAACAAAUAGCAAAUUAGUCAUUUCCCUUUUAUAUAUUUGCAAGAUGCUCAUUCAAACAUAUAAUAUUCUGUUAUUUUAACUAAGGUAUAAUAUAAACAAAUGGGAAGGACUAAUAUGCAAUUUAAUACCCAUGAUCCCAUGGUCCUAUAUCGUAACUUCCCACAAACCUCACCAUACGCACGUUCUCCCAGAUAGUUAGACUAGUUCCAUAAAUAUCUCUCAAUGAGAAAGGAAAAAGAGGAACGGACACAGUUGUUUUUCAAUUCUCAAAUCCAUUCCUAAAAAAAAAUCCCACUACUCCUGUUUACGAAAGAGAAAAAGAAAGGUUAAAAAAAAAAUAAAUUUUUUUCUCUCUUCUCCAUUGAUGCCACAAUUAAAGAUCUCUCUCUCCUAAAAAAAAAAAAAAAAAAAAAAAGAGAAGCCCUCUGUAUCUCCUUCCCUCCUCUUCUCUUCCUCUCUCACAAGAGAAAGGGAGGCGAAAAGGAGGAGAAUAUUUUAUUUUUUUUAAAAAAACGAGCAAUAGCGACGACGACAAAGAAGAAGUCGCGGUCGCAUGUGACGGCGUGGGCGGAGCGGCAUCCAGGCGGCGCGCUCCCGUUGCUCAGCCUCGGCGGGCAGGACGUCACUGACGCCUUCGUCGCCUACCACCCCCGCCACUUCCUCUCCUGCUGCAGCCGCAUGCUCGGCCUCGCCCACCAGUCUAACCGCGGGCACCUCGGCGUCGAGUACUACGGCCGCACCGUCACCGUCAAGAUCCUCCCCGUCGGCGUCGACAUGGCCCAGCUCCGCUCCGUGGUCGCCGCGCCCGAGGCCCUCGCCACGCUCCGCGACCUCUCCCUCGCCUUCAAAGACCGCGUCGUCCUCCUCGGGGUCGACGACGUCGACCUCUUCAAGGGCAUCGGCCUCAAGUUCCUCGCCAUGGAGCGGCUCCUCGAGAAGCGCCCUGAGCUCCGUGGCCACGCCGUGUUCGUCCAGAUCGUCAACCCGGCGCGCAGCCACGGCCGCGACGUCGAGGAGGUGGCCGACGAGGCCGUUCCAUCACCCGCCGCAUCAACGCCCGCUUCGGCCGCCACGGCUACGACCCCAUCGUCCUCGUCGACCACCCCGUGUCGACCUUCGAGAAGGCCGCCUACUACGUCGCCGCCGAGUGCGUCGUCGUCAGCGCCGUCCGCGACGGCCUCAACCGCAUCCCCUACAUCUACACCGUCUACCGCGAGCCCCUCGCUUCGACCAGGCGUUCGCCGAAACCGCCCGCCUCCUCGCCGACCCCUGCGCCGCCGAGCCCGCCCGCUACCUCGUCGUCAUCCUCUUCCUCCAACGGCCGAACAUGGUGGUCGGCACUUUCCUCCUCGACGUCACCCUCUUCCUGCAGCGACCGAGCGUGGCGGUCGGCGCCUUCUUCUUCAUCAUGCUCCUCUCCUGCUUUACCCCCUCCGCUCACCAGGUGUUUGAUCUGUGUCCACAAUGAGCCGCGACAUCAGUCCAGGCUGCGGCACUCAAGGUGGAGCACGCUCAGGCCGCGGACGCGCUGCAGAAUGCGCCGACGAUUGGUGCGCGGCGGCAGGCGGCUCGUGAACGUGCAGACCAAUCUCAGCAGGCUCGUCAGCAACAGCAUCAGCCUUGCCGCCUACAAAGCUGCCUAGGAUAUUGCUCUGACGGAGUUGGCGCCAACGAAUCAUGCCUACCAAUUAUUUGAUGAAAUGCCUAAGAUGUACUUUUGACGGUGAACCCGAUUUGUACAUAAAGAGAGAGAGUGGUGCUCUUCUCUUUAUAAAAAAUGCCUUAUCAAAAGAGAGUGAGCGGUGCUCUUCUCUUUAUAAAAAAUAUAGUAUCAUCGAAAGAGGGAGAGUCGAUGGGAGAGAGCGGUGCUCUUCUCUUUGCAAAAAAAAAUUAUAUUGUCAAAAGAGAGAAAGAGAUUACUUCUCUAAUUAUGAAAGAGAGAGGGAGCUUUGUUACAAAAAGGGAGGCAAGGAAGGAAUUUUUCUACCUUAGUUAUCCCAUGAAUGUAAAAGAGACAAAGAAGAAUUAUCUAUCUUUGUUGUCUUAUAUUUUCAAAGGAGAUAAAGAAAAAAAAAAGUGUUUUCUUAAUUCUCCUACAAUGAAGAGACAAAAGAAAAUUAGUCGGAUUACCGAUUAAUAUUCUUUUCAAAGUCGAAUCUUUCGAUUUGGCCAAAUUCGACCAAAUUGAGAUUGCAUUGGACCUUUUAUGUGAUUAAUGACUAAGAAUUUGACAAAUAAAAAAAUGCAUUCGAAAUUUUUAAGCGAUGAAUUUGAUUCUGAAUCUUACAAUCUCAUAUGAUCCUAAAUUAACCACCUCAAAACAAUGGACCAAGCCCGUUCUCACCUCAAAUCUCAUAACCCAAGCUCAACAUGACCCAAGUUCAACCCAAACAUAAAUCUGGGCCCAAUUCUAUGGCUUGCUUAAAAGACAAUUUGGACUUACGCUAUACGGGCCUAAAUUGAGCCUGAGCCCACAUAUAAUUCAAGCCUCAACCUGAAUCCAUAGUAAACGGGCCUAAACUGGGCCUAUGCCUAUAUCCAGAACUUAAAAUUUAAUUCAGGCCUCAACUUGAGUCCAUACCAUGUAGGCCUGAAUCUAGUCCAUGUUUGAAUGCAACUAUAUGGACCCGAAUUUGGACCAUGAAUGAAUCCAUUCGAGAAUUGAACCAUAACUUGAAGCUAUACCUAGCCCAAGUUUGAAUUCCAAACUGGUUCAUAAAAAUGCCCAAAUCGAAUAAAAUCUAAAUUGAGAACCAAUUCAGACCAACAUCAAACCCAAAAAUCUAACCCAAACCAAGACCUUAAAUCAUGCCUAUCAGAUCAAAUAUGAAACCAAAUUUGUUAAGGUUUAAUCCAAUUCUCUAGCAUAUUAAGCUAGGGUCAUAUUGUUAUCACAUUCAUAUUAGAUCAAAUUCUAAAAUAUUUGUUUAUAAUUGAUCAAACCAUCUAUUAGGUUUCAUCUAAUCAGAUCAAUUGAAUUCUAAUACAUUUACUUAGAGUUCAAAUAAAUGAAAUUGAAUUAGACUCUAAUACAUACACUUAGAGUUUAAUUUUGACUAAUCCUAAUAUAUAUAACUAGGAUUUAGUUGAUAUUUCACCUCAUGGUGAAUCCAAAUUAGACUCUAAUACAUACACUUAGANUCAAAUUCUAAAAUAUUUGUUUAGAAUUGAUCAAACCAUCUAUUAGGUUUCACCUAAUCAGUUCAAUUGAACUCUAAUACAUUUACUUAGAGUUCAAAUAAAUGGAAUUGAAUUAGACUCUAAUACAUACACAUAGAGUUUAAUUUUGACUAAUCCUAAUAUAUAUAACUAGGAUUUAGUUGAUAUUUCACCUCAUGGUGAAUCCAAAUUAGACUCUAAUACAUACACUUAGAGUUUAAUUUAAAUUACAUUUGACUAAUCCUAAUAUAUGUAACCAGGAUUUAAUUGAUAUUUCACCUCAUGGUGAACCCAAAUUAGACUCUAAUACAUACACUUAGAGUUUAAUUUAAAUUAUAUUUGAUUAAUCCUAAUAUAUAAUUAGGAUUUAGUUGAUUUAGACUCUAAUACAUACACUUGGAGUUUAAUUUAAAUUUUGACUAAUCCUAAUAUAUAUAAUUAGGAUUUAGUUGAUAUUUCACCUCAUGGUGAACCCAAAUGAAACUAAAUUAGACUCUAAUACAUACACUUAGAGUUUAAUUUAAAUCAAAUUUCGACUAAUCCUAAUAUUUAUAAUUAGGAUUUAGUUAAUAUUUCGCCUUAUAGUGAACUCAAUGUGAGGUGUAAUUAAGCUCUAACAUAGAAGCAUAGAGCUUAAUUACACUAGACUCUAAGAUAUAAAAUUAGAGUCUAAUUCGAAAUAUUUGGGCUAAUCCUAACACAUACAUUUAGGAUGAAAGCUUAAAUCAAUUUAAUCAAAUCAAACUCUAAUGCACCUAACUAGGAUUUAAUUUGAAUCAAAUCUGAUUAAAAUCCAAUGUAUAUACAUGGAAUUUAAUCAACCUUUCAUCUUAGGGUGAACAAUAUUGUUGAGCACUGAAACAUAUAGAGCCCAAUCAAAUCAAUCUGAUCAUAUACUUUGGUUCAGAAUCAAAUUCAAUCAACCGUCAUAUUCAUGUCGUUGAACUAAUCAUUUUCAUGCACACUGGGAGUAUGCUCCUGGUUAAGCUAUGUAACUAUACAAUGGAUUAUGUUAUAAAAUCCACUUUUUAUUCAAUUUCAGUUUAUUUCAGCAUUACAGAGGUCUCUUAAUCGAAGGAGCCCUAACACUUUGAAGGGAUAAUUAACAAUAGAUGCUUGCGUUUAUUGGAAGCCAUGAAUCCACAAUACCUGAUAACCAUAUAUAUAUAUAUAUAUAUAUAUAUAUAUAUAUAUAUAUAUAUAUAUAUAUAUAUAUAUAUAUAUAUAUAUUUUUUAUUAUGUACUAGUGGGNAUAUAUAUAUAUAUAUAUAUAUAUUAAUCUGAAUCAUGAAUACUACCCCACGGGAGAAUUAAUUUUAAGAUUAACCGUGAGAGGUGCAUCAUUCGUGGUUGCGGACUGUACUUCAAUAGUUUGAUUUCAGUAUAAUUUUUUUUCUCUAAAGAAAAUUAUUUUGUAUGGUUUUACGAUCGAUUUAUUUAUAUCAAACGUAAUCUACUUAUCCAGAGCGAAGCGCGGGGUUUUCACUAGUUAAUUCUUUAAUUUUAUGAUCACUUGAUCGUCCAUUGGGCCCCCUAAAGCUAAUGGGAGGGCACACACCAUUAGCUUGUCUUUGAGAACCAUUAGUUUGUCCUUGAGAAAUUUGAAUCGAUGAGAAGAUAGUCUUUCAGUAAAGAUGUCAGUAAUUUGAUCUUGCAAUGCUACAUAUUGAACAUCAAGAUAUUGUCGAACAAUCUUUUCUUAUACAAAAUGAUAAUCCAUUUCAAUAUAUUUUGUUCAAAUAUGAAAGAUAGGUUUAUAGACAAGUCAGAUAGCACUAAUGUUGUCACAAUAAAUAAUAGAUUUGAAAUGUAGAAAUUAUGUGAAUAUCUUUAAGAAGCAAGUGUACCCAAGAAAGCUUGGCAGUAGUGUGGGUGAGAGCAAUAUUCGGCAUCCGUACUAGAACAAAAUAUUGUAGGUUGUUUUUUGUUUUUUUGUUUUUGCACACCAAGAUACUAAACACGGGCUAAGAAAAAUACCAAACCCACUAGUAGAGCGGAUGAUCAUUGGGAUCUCCUGUCAGAUCGUCAUCGCAAUUGGGAUGCAAAUCAAGAUUGCCAAUUCUAAUAUGGCGUCCAUGAUCCACUAAUCCUUUGAGAAAUCAAAAGAUUCUUUUGACAGCAAUUAAAUGUUUAGAAAUCGAUGCAUGCAUAAGUUGACAUGUGAGACCCCAGGUAGUCCUAUAUAAAAGAUAUAAUAGGGCUAAACUCUUAACGUGGCUUAAGCAUUUUGGGGAGUGGCUAGGCUCAAGAGGUUAAAAGAGUUAAAGCGUGCUAGGAUGGGAGUAGUCCUAUGAUGGUUGACCCCCUGAAAAAUUGGGACGUUACAAUUGUCAUCAGAGCCAAUUACCAACUGGAAGUAUAAAUUAUGGAUUGAGCCCCUUUCAAUUAAAUAACUCCAAACCCAUUUCUUCAUUUAUUUUUCUUUUCUUUUUUUUUGUUCUCCUUUUUUUUCUUUUAUUUUCUUUCUUUCUUUUUUUUUUUGACUAAGGGAGAGAGAACCCAACUCUCUUUCUCUCUCUAUGUACGAAUCCGAGAGAGUGGGAGAGGCGGGCCCUCUUCCUGACGCUCCCUAUCCCCCUUUUUUUAUUUACUUUUUUUUUUUCUUCUUCUCCUCCUUUCUUUCUUUUUUUUUUAUUUAUUUAUUCAUUUAUUUUUUUUGUCUAAGUACGCAGAUUUGUUCCUGUUGAGCCGAUCACGAAGAUAGUGAUUUGAUCAAAUAUGAGCCUAUCACGAAGAUGAUAAUGUAGUUGAAUCGAUCCGUGCCUACAACGAAGAUGGCGAGUUGAUCAAGUCGAAUCGUGCCUACCACGAAGAUGGCGAAUGAUUUGAACAAUGCCUAUCACGAAGAUGGCAAAUUAAUAUGUUCAUCAUUUUUUGUUAUUUUUCAAAAAAAAAAUUUUGUUCAAAUGUGCGGGUUUAAUCGUGUCGAGCCUAUCACGAAGAUGGCCGCUCGAUCAACCUUUUAACCGUGUCGAGCCUAUCGCGAAGAUGACUGCUCAGUAUAAGGAUUGGUGAUGCAUACGCGGGUUUGAUCGUUUCGAGCCUAUCACGAAGAUGGCCACUCGAUCAACCCUUUAAUCGUGUCGAGCCUAUCACUAAGAUUGCCACUCGGUAUAGGGAUUAGCGAUGCAUACAUACGGUGAAAGUAACGAUUUAAUAUCGAAUUUGAUAGAUUCGAGCCUAUCACGAAGAUGGUCGUGUUGAUCAAAUCGAAAAAAAAAUCGUCCUUACGCCAUUUGUAUGCAUGCAUUACUCUUUGUUGUUGUGGAAGUCAUCGCGAUCAUCGUCGUCGCCCGAUAAAAAAGCCGAAGCUCUUUUUUUUUGUGGUACGGACAGAGGAGAAGGAGGUGCUCAUGGCAACCCCCCGGCCUCCAGCACGCCUGGGAGGAAAAGAGAUUGGGGGGGUUGCCCCCUUGUGCAUGCAUCCCGAGAGAGAGAGAGAGGGGGAGAGAAUAUAAAAAAAAACCUUUUUAUUUUCUUUUUUCUUCUUUGUUCUUUUUUUUUUUCUUUUUUUCGUUUUUUUUGCUCUAGAACUCUCUAAAAAAAAUCAUUCCAACCUCUUUUGCAAAUUUGGAUUAUAUUUUAUAGAGGAUUCAAAAGUGAUUCCCUUUUGGGAAUAAUUUUAAAAAUCAAUCUAUUAAGGAAAGAAAUCUCAAUCAACUAAUUUAUACUCCUUAUUUUGAAUACUUUCUCUCUUUUUUUUGAAAGGAAAGAGAAAGGGGAUUCCUUCUCUCCUUUUUUGUUUCCCUUUUUUUUAUUAUUAUUUUUUACCAAUUUGAGAAAAGGAGGGAGGUUGGGAUUUUUUUUUUUUUUUUGAAAUCUUUAUAUCCAACCCUUUUUUUAUUUAUUUCUUUUUUUUUGAACUUGUUUUUUAACCCAAACAAAGUGCCCCCCACCUUUUGCUGUGAGCGCUUACGCGAGCAAAAAGGAAGUGCAUAUAUUUUCUUUUUUUUUCUUACGAAUAGUAUUUCUUCAAAAAUCGGUCGUUGAUUGGCGGCAUUGGUCUUUCUCCUUUUGCAUUAAUUAAUUGAUAAGCUCCUCCCUCAUAUACUUGUUCUAUAAUGUAGGGACCUUCCCAAUUUGCAUCGAAUUUGCCCCCAGUAUGUCUGUUUAUAAUUAUAGACCGUCAGUGAACUAGUACCAAAUCCCUUGCUUGAAAAGUUCGGGCACACACCAAUUUGUUGUAAGCCCUUGACAUUUGAGACUGAUAAAGUUCUAGGUUCUAUUGCGCAGCCAAUUGCAUCUCGUCCAGAGAAUCCAGUUCAGCAAGUCUCAAGAAGAUAUUUUCUUCAUUCGUCAUUUCGUGUUGAACCGCCAUCCUUAGUGAUGGUAGCUCUAUUUCCAUAGGAAGGAUAGCUUCCGUUCGGAAAACCAAAGAAUAAGGAGUGGCUUGAGUAGGGGUUUUAAAAGUUGUUCGGUAAGCCCAGAGUGCAUCUGAAAUCUUGUCGUGCCAUUCCCUCUUAUUUUUACCAAUGAUUUUCUUCAGAAGUUUAACUAGAGUCUUAUUAAAAGCUUCGGCCAAACCAUUAGCUCUUGGAUUAUAGAUCGACGAAUAUCGCCAGUCAAUUUUAUAGUGGGAGGCGAUCUGCUGACCUUAAAACUUUUGAAGGCUGAGACAUUGUCGGAGAUAAUUCGACGAGAAACUCCAAAGCGGUUCAAAAUAUUUUCUCUAAAAAAUUUCAUGACAUUAUCUGCUUUCACUUUUCUCAAAGGAGCAUCCUCAGCCUAUCUAGAGAAGUAAUCUAUUGCUGCGAGAAUAAAUUUGUGUCCUCGGGAUGAGGAAGGAUUAAUUGGCCCUAUGACGUCUGUUCCUCACAUGUCAAAUGGCCAAGAGGCAAUUGUCGGGUGUAGAGGGUUGUGAUGUUAGUGAAUAAAAUCGUUAUGGACUUGGCAUUGAUGGCAUUUCCUAGCGUAUUCCAUACAAUCUUGAAACAUUGUGGGCCAAUAAUAACCCAAGUGUUUAAUCAUGAGGCACAUCUUGGGACCAGAUUGGUGGGCGCCACAUACACCCGAAUGGACUUCAUGCAUAAUCUAUUUGAUUUCUUUUGGCGAUACACAUCUCAGCCAUAACUAAUCGUAGGAACUUCUAUAGAGGAUAUCAUUCACGAAAGCGUACCGCAUUGCUCUCUUUUUCAAUUGAACUUCUUUUCACUUUUCUUCAGAGAGUUCGUUGUAUUUAAAAUAAUUAAUGAAAGGUUCCCUCCAAUCAUCGCCCUUCAAUUUUAGCGCAUUCGCCUAAUGAAUUUCUUUUGAUUCUUCUUCAAAAUUUAAGUUCGUAGGUGACAGGAUCUUUCUAUUCUUGAUGGUCACAUAGACUUCGUCAAGAUUAGGAUCAGCUAGCUCUUUAGCCAAUCUAGCUAGAGCAUCAGCCUUACCAUUUACGGCUCGGGAGACCCUUUCCAGCAUGACAUUAGGUAUUUCCCUAAUGAGUUCUUGCACCCUUUUUUGAUAUUUGGUCAAUUCUAGCUUGUGAACUUUAUAUUCGCCUAUCACUUGGUUAAUGAUUAGCAGAGAGUCCCUGUAGAUGUGUAGCCGUUGUAUAUUCAUGACAACGACUACUUCUAAUCCUGCAAUUAAGGUUUCAUAUUUAGCUUCAUUAUUUGUAUGAGGUUCAGAAAGUGCUAGAGAAUAUCGCAAAAUUCUUCUCUCAGGUGUCACAAAAAUUAGACCAACUCCUGCCCUUACUUACGGAAUAUUCUAGCUAUAUGCAGGUUGGAUGGAAAAUGCUCCAUCGAAAUACAUCUCCCAAUAAGGUUGUUCAUCCUCAACAAGCAAUACCUCUUCAUCCGGUAGAUUGCACAUUAAAGGUGAGUCAUCACGUACUGAGUGUGCUACUAAAAAAUCAUCGAGUGCUUGCCCCUUAACAGCCUUUUGCGGUAUAUAGGUAAUGUCAAACUCCAGAAGAAUAACUGCCCAUUUCGCUAGCCUUCCAGUUAAGAUAGGUCUUGUCAUUAAAACUUGAGUGGAUCGAAUUUUGACACUAAAUAAAUUUUGUGCUCGAGCAUUUAAUGCCACAAUUUCUUGACAGCAAAUAUAAGGGCUAAACAAUGCUUUUCUAUUGGUGAGUAUGAAUUUUCAGCUCUCACCAACAUCCUGCUGAAAUAGUAUAGAGCUUGCUCCUUUCCUUCCUCAUUAUUCUGUGCCAAAAGUGCUCCCAGUGACCCAUCGAGAGCUGCUGUGUAUAAUAUCAAGGGUCUGCCGUGUAUCGGGCAGCAAGUACUAGUGGAUUCAUUAAGUACCUUUUUAUGUCUUUGAAAGCUACUUAGCACUCGGUGUCCCAGACAAAUGGUGCAUCCUUUUUUACCAGUAUGGAGAAAGGCUUGACUCUACCAGAGAGAUUCGAAAUAAAUUUCCUGAUAUAAGCUAAUCUUCCUUGGAAGGAUUGAAGCUGUUUUAACUUCUUUGGAGGAGGCAUCUCCAUGAUAGCCUUGAUUUUUGCCGGGUCGAUUUAAUUUCUUCAAAUUCUUUGGAGGUGGCAAUUCCAUGAUAGCCUUGAUUUUUGAAUGGUUGAUUUCUUCUCCCGGGUGUCUGACAAUGAACCCUAAAAAUUUACCAGAAAAGAUUCCGAACGCACAUUUGAGCGGAUUCAUUUUUAACUAGUAUUCUCUCAAUCGGACGAAGACAGUUUUUAGAUCUUGGAAGUGAUUUUCUUUGUUCUUUGUUUUCACAACCAAAUCAUCGACAUAGCACUCCACUGUCUUGUGGAGUAGAUCGUCAAAUAUUCUAGUCAUUGCUCGCUGGUAUGUAGCUCUGGCAUUCUUGAGGCCGAAAGGCAUGACUUUAUAACAAUAUAUUCCUAUAGGAGUUCUGAAUGUCGUAUGCUUCUCGUCCUCCUGUGCCAUCUUGAUUUGAUUUUAUCCUAAUGAGUCAUUGUAAACGAGAAUAUCUCACAUCUCGACGUGUUGUCAAUCAUUAGUUCUGUUAUUGGCAACGAAAAGUCAUCUUCUGGGCAAGAUUUAAAGUCAUCUUUUGGGCAAGAUUUAUUUAAGCCCGGGAAAUCGACGCAUAUACGAAUUUGGCCAUUCUUCUUCUUGACCGGGGCGAUGCUAGCGAUCCAAUUAGCAUAUUUCUCCUCCCUUAUAAAGCCUGCCUCAAUAAGCUUUUUGGUUUCCACAAUGAUUUGCUCUUCCAGAUCCACUCUCAUCCUCCUAGGAGCUUGUUUGAUUGGGUGAGCUUGAGGAUUUAUAGCUAACUUGUGAACAGCCACUUCUGGACUAAGGCCCGACAUCUCUUUAUAACUCCACGCAAAGCAAUCUUUAAAUUUUGUUAGCAAUGUCUUUAGCUUCUCUUGUUCUUCCUUUGAAAGUAGUGCACUUAUAUAAGUGGGUCUGGGAUCUUCUUCUGUUCCCAGAUUUAUCUCGGGAAGUUCAUCUACAGUUGCUUGUCCCCCAUCUUCAAGCUCUUGAGGUGCACCUUUUGGUUCAAGAGGUUUUUGUUCAUCGACCAAAUGUUCAGCAAAAUCCUCGUUUGCAUUGAUCAUAUUACAGGUAUAAAUAUCUUGAUAAGUGGAACUUUUGUAAUAUCCUAGGCCUUUGGUAUUGUAAGAUUUGCCAUUUGGGAGUAUGGAUCUUUUUUAAGGUGGAUUCUACAUUCGUUGAAAUAAUUUGUGGUCGUCCCAAGUGUUAGAGUAUUGCGUACGGUAAAAACGCAGUGGAAAAAGAAAUCAAACAAAUUUGAUUUUGAAAACUCUCGAGAUCCAAUAUCAAAAACUACGUAAUUAGGAUCCCUCAUGUUAUUUAAGAUUAAAGAAGAAAAGGAAGAUCGAAUCUUUACCUUUUUCGUGGAAAGAUCUUCACCUCAAUUUGAUGAUCGUGAAAUUGGGUUCUCUUGAAGCCGCACACGUGUUCGGCCUCUAUAGGUAUCCACAUGAGGUUCUUGAUUUGAUCGAUGUCCUCACUGGGGUGCUAGCUUUCUUGCAAAAGGACGUCUUUUUGCUAGAAGAUGGAAGAGAGAGGAGAAGAGAGAUGACGGCUAGGGUUUUCUAAAAAGCUCCCGUAUAUUAUAUAAAGGAAUAUAAUCCUCUUUCUAAUAAUAUAAUGACAAUUAAGAAUAAGUACAAAUCUAAAUUUAAAUAUAUCCUUUCCUUAAUUAGUUAGAUCGAUCAAAUUCUAAUUUCAUUCAACUUGAACUUUAUCUUAAUUUGAUCAUAUCAAAUUAAUAAUACAACAUUUGCACAUAAGUCCUCUUAUAUUUCACUAACUAUUAGUAAGUCCUCUCAUGUAACAUUUACACUUUAAUACCACUAAUUUGUAACAAUUACAAAUUAGUCCAAUUAUCAACAUAUUGACAAUUAGGUCCUCCAGCGAUUCAAUAAUCGCGAUCUAGCUAUCCAAUCAAUCACAACCUCUUAUGUGUGUGACCCCAUAGAUUCUAUUCUAUCUGGUAGUAAGAUAUAUUUUGAUCACUAUCAACAAUAUUACUGAAACUCCUUUCAGUGGAUCGGAACAAUUUCAACUCAGCCCAAUGAGAAUUAUCGAUCAUAUAAAUAAUUCUCAUGAGUCUCACAAUCCACUAGUGAUGCCUAGCAGCUUGUAGUGGCAUUCCAGUGAAUGGAAUACUGAACCUCUUUGUGCAGUUACCGUGUGAUACAAUCCUUCUAUCAUAAGUCCCGACUAGACGGAGGUUAUGAAAUAACUUGUCAAACCCCAUCGUCUGUCAUAUGUUAAAUUUAUUCGACUCGAGUUUCUAAUAUCGGAAACCCUUUUCCGCUAUUAACUCUGCCUUGGCCAAGGUCUUCUAAACUCGGUCUCAUAAAUCACAUAGGACUAACACCCCUAUCUACUAAGGGAGAUAGAUCUAUCUAAGUGCGCACCCUAUUCCUACAAUGAAUCUAGUGCAGCCAACAUGCACCGUAAGGACCCGAAUGGCUAGGGACCAAGUGUAUGUACAGUCAAACUACAGUAACCUUAUUGUGAAUGGCUGAGGCACAGCAGGUCAAAGGACCAGUCACACUACUGCAACAUGAGUAAGUCACUGACGAUUGAGUAGACAUCCAAGUGACUUCUUGCAUUGGUCACACUCGGUACCCUUGUUCUCUAACAACCACCUGCAUAUUCGCUUUAGUGUCCCCACACUGUUGACUCGAGACCCGUCUACCCAAAAGGGAAGCGACCUAUGCACCAAUCUCAUCGGAUCAAUCACCGUUCCCAUGAUGAUCCAUUGAUCGGGAGCAUUUAGGAAUUAACUACCAAUGACACAUGUCUCAAAUUCUCAACUCUUGAGAAUAUAUGUCAUCAUCUUAUUAAUUCCUUGGAUGAUUCAUGGACACAUACACAACAUGAAUGGAAAUAAAAACCCAAAUACAUUCAUAAUAUUUUAAAAUCAAAUGCAAAUUUAGAUCCUAGAAAGAAUAUAUGUGUCGGCCUGAUUGGCUUCUAGGGCAUACAUCUAACAAUCUCCCACUUGCACUAAAGCCAAUCAGCCAUAUACCUAAGCCCCAUCUUCUCAAGGUGGACUUCAGUCUUCUGUUGGCUAAGUGGUUUAGUCAAUGGGUCUGCCACGUUAUCCGUGGAGUCUACUCUCUGCAUCUCGAUGUAUUUCUUGUCGAGGUAGUCGCGUAUAAUAUGAAACUGCCGCUCUAUAUGCUUGGACUUCUGAUGAGACCUGGGCUCCUUAGCUAGGGCUAUGGCGCCAUUGUUGUCGUGAUAGAGUGGUAUGGCAUCCGAUGGCAUCACACCUAGUUCUGCGACAAAUUUCUUGAACCAGAAGGCUUCCUUUGCAGCUUCAGAUACGGCGGUUAAACUUCUACAUGAUGACAUAAUGAUAGACCUUGGGUCACUAGCUUUUAUACCAUGUUUUAAACAUGAUGACAUUGGACUUGAGACCGAUGAUUACGCUUGCUUGCCAUUGUGCUCAUUCGCACAUGCUUGUGAGGGUCGCUCCCCACAAGCCGGCACUACGGAUAUAGCUAUCGCGACAUAAGCUCGCUCGUGCGAGAUUGGGCGCCUAAAUGGGAUGUCGUGGGGGAGGCUCAUUCUUAGGGUAGGAAUGUUGACUACCACGGGGCCAUUAGGCACAACGCAAGUCGGAUUACCUUUGUGUAGGUCCUAUAUGAUUGGAACAAAGUUGAACUUUAAUGCAAAGUGGACAUCGGACAAAUUAGUAAACAAUGACAUAUUACUAGUUAUAUUUGUGUAAUGACCCAGCCCACUAGCAACAAUAACUCGUUGGGCCCAACCACCGGCUCAAAAUGCUUAAGCCCAGUUAUUAUUACUAGUGUCUAAGCCUCUUAUAUACCCAAUCACAUCCCUAUUCCUAUCCGAUGUGGGAUUAUUGGGGUAUGACAGACUCCCCCCGUUAAGGCCCUGACGUCCUCGUUAGUCCAAUGACACACACAGCCCAAGAUCACCAGGUAAUGUGAGACUCGUCUCGCUAGCCUUGUCAUCCAGACCCUGGCAUAGCCGGUCACCUUGUCAUACAGACUCUGGCAUAGCCUAUUACCUUGUCUUUCAGACCCUAGCUCAGACGAGACUCGCCACACAUUUUCGGUUGGUGAUUGGCUCUGAUACCAAAUGUAAUGACCCAACCGACUAAUAAUAAUAACUCAUUGGCCCCAACCACCGGCCCAAAAUGCUUAAGUCCAGUUAUUAUUACUAAUGUCUAGGCCUCUUAUAUACCCAAUCACAUUUUCAUUCCGAUCCAAUGUGGGAUUAUUGGGGUGUGACAAUUUGUGGACAUCAUGUUAUUUACACACAUGCAUAUUUAUGUUAGAAUAGCAUUUAUACUUGUGGAAAUUCAUGCUAAGUAGAGGCAUAGUAGUUUAGCAAACUUUAAUCAUAUUUAAUAUACAUGUUGUUCAUUCCAUUCAAAUAUUAGAACUUACUACUGUUGCCUCCAUCGCCUAGUGGUGUAUUUCGCUGAGGUCAGCAGCUUGCCCACCGGGAACUAUUGAUAAAUAGUUCUCACGCCUUCUAUUUUGUUGUUUUUAUUACAGAGCCAUCCGCACCGGGAGAGGCUUGGGAUCGCGGAAAGGGGAUCACAUCUAGCUAGAUAGCGAGGAGUUUCACGCUAGGUGGUCAUCUAUCUAUUUUUGUACUUAUUGUAGAGAGUGAGAGACUUUGUACCCAUGGGUAGAGACCACCAUUUUUGUAUGUCUAGCACUUAUAUUCGAGAUCUUGAUGUAUCUACUUGUGGAUUAUGUUAGUUAUUUAGCUCCUCUAUAUUCUACUUGUCAUUAGAAUUUAGAUGUUGUAUGCUCUGAUAUCUCUAGAUAUAUGUUCAUUGUUGCUUAUUUAUCGCUUUGUUAUAGACGCCUUAUAUGUUGUAGGCAUAUGGCGGGUCUGGGUACGCACCGGGCGGGCUUUCGCUGGGUCCCGGGGCGUGACUGUAAGGACCUGAAUUCUCGACAUGCGAGAGUUGGACCUCGCUCAAAUCGACCUGUUGUUAGUUGGGUACGCUUUGGAAAGGCCGAAGGCGUCGUAAAUGCAUAAAGUGCAUUGUAGGAGGUCUUCGAGAGCAAGUUGGAGCAAGUCUGCAAGACUGCAGCUUUUGUGCUCUCGGGGACCGGUCCCUGAGUUGGAGGACCGGUCCCCGUACGCGUAGAAAAUGGACAAGUGCCCAUUCUGUGCUGGACUGCUCUCGGGGACCGGUCUCUCAGGCAAGGACCGGUCCUCCGAGGUUCGGUCUCUCGAGCAAGGACCGGUUCCCGUACCUGUUGGAGUUGUAGCAGAGUGUCCUGCGAGAGAGCUGCUCUUGGGGACCGGUCCCUCUGGGGGAGAGACCGGUCCCCUUGUGCGAGAAAGGCUGGGGCAGUGCUCUAGGGGACCGGUCCUUGGUUGGAGAGACCGGUCCCCGAGCACGAAAUCUGCCUAGUCUGGGCAGUGCAUAAGGAGCAAAGUGGAGGGGGCUUUAUGCAAUUUGGACAUAUGAGGGGUUAUGAGAGGGGCUUCUCUCUCUCUUCUCUCAUUACUUCCUCACUCCCUCACCGUUCCUCUUCUCUCUCUCUCUCUCUCUAGAAAGAAGAAAAAGGAGAAGGGAAAGAAGAGAAAGAAGAAGAAGAAGGAGGAGAAGAAGCUAAGAAGAUGGAGCUUUACCUUCAUCUCCUUCCUUGAACCAUUGAAGCAAGCCUCUUGAGGUAAGCUUGAGCUCUCUCAUGGUAGAUCCUUAGAGAUGGAUUUUUAAUCCCUAGAAUUGGAUUUAAUGGAAUACUAGCAUGCUAAGGAGUUGAUCUAUGCUUGAAUCUAGAGGCUUUAUGUGGGAUUCUUGUAUAGUUGCAAAUUAGGGCUCCAAAAAGGGGGUUUUUGUGUAUAGUUGGGUUUGAUCUCAAUUGGACCCUUAUUAACCUAAUUGCUAGGUAUACGAACGCGUUGGCGAAGUCGGUUCGACGAUUCGUCGAGCCGGUGCAAAGAUAUUAAAGAAACGGACUAUUUAGCUUCGUUUUCGCCUGGAGGGCCGAGGCGACGACUAAAAAUCGUGGAAACGGGUUUGGAGCACCGUGGCGGCAAACCGUAGACCUAUAAUUUUUGGGGCCGCGAUUCGGCGCACGAUUGGUGCGCAACUGCGAGAUUGGGCCAUGCCGGAUACGAGUGAUUGCAAGUGACUACAAGCAAUCGGAGAGCGAAUCGAGGUGGGUUGUGCUCACCGAAGCGACUAGGUCGCCUUUAUGUCUUAGAGUAAUGUUUAUUAUCGAUGCAUGCAUAUGUAGUGGUAGGUUGCAUAAGAUAAUAGAGAUGCACAAAUCUUAUUAUGCUUGAUGUUUAAUGCCUACCAAUGAGAUAUAUAUGUUGACACAUUGAGGAAGAUGCAUAAUGACAUAAAGCUAAUGCUAGAUGGAUGCAAGUUAACAUAUAGAGGAUUAUGUUAAUUGAAAUGUGCAUGUGGACAUCUAUAUAUUAGAUCGAGUGGCAUCGAACCUUGUGUUAAUAAACAUAGGUCGGACAUGGAUGACAUUGAACCUAGUGUUAAUAAACAUAGGUCGGACAUGGAUGACAUUGAACCUAGUGUUAGUAAACAUAGGUUGUAUUGAACCUAGUGUCGUGGACCUAGGAUGGAUAAGAAAGACAUAUGAACCUAGUGUUGUUAAACAUAGGUUGACAUCGAACCUAGUGUUAAAGGACAUAGGUUGGGGAUUAAACCUAGAGUUAAAGUAAACCUAGGUUAUGUGAUAGAGACAUUGAACCUAGAGUCAAGAGGGCCUAGAUAGUAAAGAACAACGGACCUAGAUAGGUUGAUAUUAUAGGGUUUGAGACCAAUCCUUGAGCUAUGUGAAGUGGAUUCCGGAAUCCCUAGGAAAGAUGGCUGCUAGUGCAGCGAAUGAGAUUUGCGACUGAGCGCAAGUGAAUCAAGACUGUGGGUAUAUUGGUUCUCCUCGCCCGACAGUCAUUCAACGGGUAUGUUGGUUCUCCUCGCCUGGUAAGUGAAUUGGCAUAAAUAGAAUCCUAACUGCGGAUAUGUUGGUUCUCCUCGCCCGGCAGUGAUUCAACGGGUAUGUUGGUUCUCCUCGCCCAGUAUGACAUGAGCUUGAGCUUGAAAUGGGUAUGUUGGUUCUCCUCGCCCAUUUAGCUUAUUGGAUGAUGCCGCCUAGAUUGACUUGAACCAUUGCUGGGUAAGGGCGAUGUGGUCGCUGCCAGAUGACUAAGUCACGACUUGAGCCAUUGUUGGGUGUGAUGCGAUGAGUUCGCCGCCGGAUGGCUAAGUCAUGACUUGAGUCGUUGUUGGGUUCGAUGCAAUGAGUUCGCCGCCAGAUGGCUAAGUCAAGAGGUGCGGUAGGCUGUGACGGCAGCCAGGCUGUAGUAGAGAUGCAGCUAGUGCGCGGUAGUCCGCGAUGAUUGACUCGAGGCCGAGUCGGGUGGAUAGUGGAAACCCUAAAGGCUAGUGGUACAUGAUACGAUCUAAGGCAGUAGAGACCUUAGACACUAGUUGAGGUUGAACUGUAAAAUUAAGGUAACAAAACCUUAGAAGCUAGUUGAACAUGAGCUAGUUAGCGAGAUAGAAGUAAAAUCGAUAGAUUUACUUCUUUGGUUGCAUUGUUGCAUAAGUUGCAUAUGGAAUAGCAUUAUUGCAUUUGUGAGGCAAAGCAUGAUAUGUGUUAGUUGCAUUUAAAUUAUGAUUUCAUAUCUAUUUAUUGAACUAAUAUGUUGUUGCCUCCCUUGGACCUACUGGUCGAGCUUUUCCCUUGGGUGGCCGUACCUACUCGGAACCAUGGAGUUGGUUCUCACCCUACGUUGUUUUGGGGUGUUACAGGUUCGCACGUGAGCGGUGCGGCGGCGCGAGGCAAGGACGUGAUAAUUUUAAACAUUCACAAACCAUUUCUAAGUCUCCCAAACACUUACAAACGUGCAAAAAUCACCACAAAUUAUAAACGCACAUACCUAAGAUAGAUGAGUAUCAUAGACGAGUCUUUUCACCACGAAUCUUGAGAUCAUCGUCUUCAACCCUUCAAGACUCCACACGACUUAACGAAAUCCGCUAAUCUAGAAAAUCCUUAACAAUUUCUCCCUUUGGCGAUUUCGUGACAAAACAUAAUACAAAGAUCAUCCAAUACACAAAAACAAAAUAAUCGAAAAAUUAUCACAAUCACCAAACGACAACCUCCUCGUAUGAUCGAUCCAAUAAAACAAAAUACAUUUCAUACAAUUCCUAAAACAAACGCUAUGACUUAGACGUGACACGGAGUUUUGAAGUCUUGUAAUUCGCUGCAAAACAAAUUCUCCAAAACAUGCAAUCAAAAUACAAAAUAUGCAAUAAAAACAUGAAUAGUCAUAGUCAUCUACGCAAUCAACAUCUUAGUCACCUACUUAGUCAAAGCAAAGCAUCUAAGUCUAAAAGCAAAGCAACAAAGUAAGCAGCAAGCAUCACACAUCUCCCCCUUUUUGCCACCAAAUCGCAAAACAAUAAAAGAAGAUGCACAGAAGUCCCAGCAUUUAAUCAGAAUCCUCAUCCUGCGAAGGAAUAUCUGCGCGACAACACCCUAUCUUGUCAAAGAUUGCUCAUCCCUAAUGAGGUUCUUACUGUCGAUACUACUAAUAGACCAUCCAUUACAAUUAACAGAGGUUAACAUGUAGACCCAGCACAGCAAAAUGUUGCUGACAAAAAUGUAUAGCGACAUGCCAUUUUGACUUAGACCCUCAAAUUUUUUUUUUUUUCAUUGUGGCUUCUCAACUUCUAAUAUUUUUGAGUUUUUAUAGUUAUUUCAAUAAAAAGUUUAACAAAUUAUAUGACUAUUAAUUUAAAGUUAAUUAUUUUAAUUUUAUUCACUAGAAACAAUUAAAUUAUUAAAUUUAAUAAAAUCAUUAAUGAAUUUUUGAUGAUAUCUUUUUAUUUUAACUGUAAUCACAAUUUAAAUACAAAAACUUAAAGUUAAGGGCAUCGCAACAAAAAAAAAAAUACUAAACUUGAGGUGGUCAUUUGAAAACGACAGAUGUGCCUUUAUUUACUUCUAAUCCCAAUCAAUCACUGUGCAAAAUUUGAUAUUGUCACGCCCCACGACCGUCAAUUUGGUCGGUUCGGGCACUUGCACAGACGUCGAACGAAUAGAACCUUUCCUGUCCGUCCAAGGCUCAACAACAACGACCAUCAUGUUUAAAGAAUUAGCCCAGGAAUAGUUUCAAUAUACAUGGCUUGCACGAGGGCAAGCAGCAAAAGCAAGUGAAAGUAAACUAGCUAUACAUGCAUUCAUUAUAUCUUGAAUACUUUAAACAAAAUACAAAGCUUCCAUUAUUUAUUACAUCCAUUUUUCCAAAAUACAUCCCAAGUCACUCAAGUACAACUAUUACAUUUUUCUUACAUGUCUCUUUUCAUCAUAUACAAAAGAUGAAAGCAAAAAGGUACAUAACUAUACUCGGUGAGUCCACUACCUAGGGCGCGAUGCCCUUGCCGCGAUCCUCGACCGCUCCGCUCGCGCUAGGAUCUGCAAGGUUAGUGGUGUAAGAACUAAUGAAAGUUCCCAGUGGAUUCGGCCGCCGACCUCGCUGACUCACCCACUAGGUCUACUCAGGUAUAUAUAGAAAGAAAGAAUAGAUAGGUAACCAUACUAAUGCUACUACAAUGCAUGUAUAAAAACUGAACAAUAGGUAAUAUGCUUAUGAUGCAUGCAUUUCACUUCUACCUUUACCUUUACUCAAUCCACUUGGUUAACCAUUUGGUUAAACCCAACUCACCAAACCAAAUUCCUUUUGUCGUGGAGAAUACCACUACAACCCGACGGGACUGUCAGCUGGGGAGAAUUUCGCUACCGCCCAGUCGAUGACAGCUCCGGAGUUCACCGCUCCUCAAGCAUUCAGACUAUCUGUGAGUAUGAUCCAAUCCUCACUUGGAGGAUGCCAUGUCACUAUUGCCACAAUGUUUACAUAGUUUUUCUUUGUCUAGCAUUUAUAAUUCUUGGUGCUAUUCAUUCCGUCUAGUCACAAUGUCACCUUGUUUACUAUUGUCAUAGUCCAAUACUUUGUUCAUACAUUCAUAGGGUUUCUAUGUCCAUGUCAUGAUUUCACAUGUACUUUUCCAUUGAUAACAUACAAGAUGUUUCCCACCGUAGGCAUAUAUCAUCAUUACCCUACAAUGCAUGAUUUCCCUAUGAUACAUAUACAUCUAUGCUCAAGAAAGUGACAAAGACAUAAUAGGUCAUUCGAAGAUUUCGGAUAGCACCACCCACCUCGUAGGGAUGCCGGAGUGCGAGAAACCAAGUCCCGCGAUUUUUAAAUGUCCACUUCUCUUGACCUAUGACAAAUAAAAGCAAAAUGAGGAUUUUCCUUAAUAACUUGUCGUAGACUCGUCGAAACUUCGAUCUGAGCCUCCCAAUGCGUCGGUUUAACCUUCAAUUAGGAAUACAAGAGAUUAAACCCAUGUUAGAUCCCCAUUCCUACAAAACCCCAUUUCUAUCCCUAGGUUUCAUACAUGGUACUCAUAGUGCAAUUUUCUUGGGAUUUCAUAGAAUAAACAAAGCUCUAGAAAUCCAAGAAACUCAAAAACCAACAAAUUAGGGUACUUAAGCCAAACCCUAACUUAGAAAUGCAAGAAACCUACCUUUGCUUCUUGCUCCACAAGACCUCCUUGUUCUUGAGCCUCUUUUCCACCAAAACCACCAAGUUUCCACCUUUAAUCCUUCUCCAAAGCCUCCAAGGGAUUCUAGAAAGAGAAGGAGGAGGAGAUGAGGAGGAAGAAACGAGGCUUCCUUUGCAUGUAAACAACAGGGGUAAGGGUUGGGGUAUUUAUACAGACCCCAACAAUUGCACUUAGGUCCCUCACAAAACACCCUUUCAUCCAUUGCAAUUCAGUCCUUUUUAGGCUGAGUACCGGUACUCGGGUUGGAGUACUGGUAUGCGGACUCCCAGUACCAGUACCAGGUACACAGUACCGGUACCAGCUACUCAACCCGAGAGCUACACGAGCUCUGGUCCAUCCUGGAGUAUCGAUACACGAUUCCAGUACUAGUACAUACCAAGUCUAGUAUUGGUACUGGCUACGUAGUACCGGUACACACUCAAACAGCUUCUCAAACCCGAGAGCUAAUCUUUCGGGUUUGCUCGCGAGGUACUGGUACCAGCCACUCAGUACCGGUACCCAACAUGUCCAAUACCGGUACUAGAUGCUCAGUACCGGUACUCAACUUGACAGAAGCCCAAACCCGAGAGCUCAUCUUUCAGGCAAACUGGCUGAGUACCGGUACCCAACCUUUGGUAUCGGUACGCAGCACGGUAUAACCAAACCUGAGAACUGCCCAUUUUCCUCUUCUAUUGGGUACCGGUACCAUAUUGGCUUGGUACCGGUACUUAAUGCCAAAGCUGCAGUCUCACAGCAGCAGUGUUUCGUGGUCUGUUUUCACGCCCGGUUUGCGCUGAAACGCUUAAAUACACCCGAAACCCACUUCUAACCAUCCCCACACCUCCAAGGCAACUCGGGGACGUCGCUUAUCCCACUUAUGCCUCUGAUCAAUUCAAUCAAAGUUAGCGUUGCGACUCGGGGAUUCGGUAUGUUACAGAUAUAUUUCAAAAUUUCAUAUAGUUGAGGGGUCUAUACGUUUUUUCCUUGCCGCUUUUUCACCGUGCAUCUCAACUGAAAUUUUCUUUCAUAAGUACACUAACUUAGUAAUUUAUUUGCACCUGUGUGCUAAUUUUUGUUGAUUAUAAUAGGAAUGUAGAUUAUAGAGAUCUAUUUUUUUAAAAAAAAAACUUAUGAAGGUUGGCAAUCGAUAAUAAAACAAAUUAGGAAUUCAAUUAGAAAUUCGAAAAAAAAGUUAGGGACCAAUUAUAUAAUUAUUACAAAAAUAUGCCAAUACUGUGCUAAUUUAGCAUCUAGGUAUCAACUUUCCUUAAUUACUAGUGUAAUGACCCGCACUUCGCGGCGGGAGAUUGUAACAUUGAGAGCUAAUAAUAUGGCUUUUAUUAUAUUUUUUUAUUACGAAACAUACAGAUAUAUAUAACAUUCACAUUAUGUAAGAUAACUAAAUAAAUAAUAUAGAUUAUCUAAUACGAUAUAAUGUCUUUUAUAAUGCAAAUAUAAUUGAUAAAACAGUUCUUAGAUCAUGGCCUAUCGGUUCCACUUGAUUUCUUGCGGGUGUUAACUUUGCUUGGUCCUUCUCCAGUCUUCGAACUGCGUAAGUAUAAACAAUAUCUCAUAUAUAUAUAUAUAUAUAUAUAUAUAUAUGGUGGAAUAAGAAAUAAAAAAAAAUAUUUUAAAAAUAUUAAUACUUACAAAUGUGAUUUUUUUGCUACAACAGAUGUUUCAAUAGACAAAUCACUAUCGUUGCUUGACAAAAUACUGCAAGUCAAUAAUUUUUUUUUUUUUGAACUGACAGAACAUAAAUUUAUAAUCAGUUCUUAGAUUUUCUAGAACCGGCAAGAAUAAACCUUAGAAGUUCAAUAAUUUUAAGCAAGAAAAGUUUAUAUAGAUAAAACAAUAGGGAAGAAGUUUCUAAAAUAGAUGGGACAACAUACACAAACAUGUAUAGGAACAGAAAAUGAUCAAGACACAUUGUUUGAUAACAAUUUUAAUUUCUAUGCUUGAAUAGAGUCAUUGUUACUGAAUAUGAAUUACUGCACAUAGAAAUCAUCGGCACAAAUGUAACAAUCAUUAUUGAACACUUUAAUCAAAUUUGAUAAAUUGGGAAACAAGCAAUAUUUGGAGUCACUAAAAGCCAAGAGAAAAUAAAAGGUCUUCCUUUCAUAUGGAAAGCAGUAAGAGGAUCUAUUUAACAACAUAUCCAAAAAGUGCCAAGAGCAAAUUAUUAUUUAUUAGGACUUCGGAUGUAAUCCCAAUGCCAGACAAGAACCUUCGGAAUUAAUCCAUUCAACCACAGGAAUUUAGUAUAAGUACUUUAGUAAUGAGAUAAAGCCAAUUUAAUUGACCGAAAAGGCAUAUAGAGUCCAUAUAAGUUACAUCGAAUCAAACAUGCAAACUUUAUUUUAUUAUUUUGGUUAGUAUUGGAACAAACAAAUAUGACUAACUAAAUAACUUAACCAAUUAGCAUUACUGGGACAGAUUGGGCUUCCUACUGCAGUAAGCAUUACCGUUUCCACUUAAAAGUUUGUCCUCCAUUGAGACGAUAUAUUCCCUUUGUUGUUUUUAACUUGUGUUUAUAUUAACUAGUUAGUCCAAGUAAGCCUCUGCCACUCAUGCAACUAGCACUUUUUAAACAUGAAACAGGCCAGUUUAUACAAGCACACCAAGCAAUACAUGUUUAUACAAGCACACCAAUCAAUACAUGUUUAUACAAGCACACCAAUCAAUACAUGUUUAUACAAGCACACCAAUCAAUACAUGUUUCUCCACAUAUUUAUCUCCUCCAUUGUGGUUAUUGUAUAUGUAUACUUGUUGCAACAUAACCUUAUUUUCUUGUCAAUGAUUUCAUCUACGUAAUCCUCCGGCCUUUAUGCAGCUCACACCUUUUUCUUCCUUGAACUGGUUUGUUUGUACAAACAAGAUUAUCAUCAAUAGCGAUUCCACAGAUAACAUGCUCAUCGUAAUGUUUACGUGCUCCUAUCUUCCAGUCUUUUCCGUGUCCUGAAAGUGGUGGCUCCAAAUGAUUGAAUGGGCUCCUAUCAGAAAAAUCUCUGAUUUUAGGACUGACUAUCCUUCUGCCUCUAUGUAACUCGCAUCUCUUUCUCCCUCGAACUGGAAUCUCCAUACAAGAAGUACCAUCUUCUAGAAUAAAACCGCAUGUAGAUGAAGUUUCUUGUGGAGUGCCUUCUUUUUCAAUUACAGGAAUUAAAAGAGGAAUCCUCUUACCUUUGUGCUCGUCACACCUUUUCCUUCCCUGGACUGGCCUAUUUCUACAAACAGCUCCGCCGCUAACGGGCAUUCCACAAAUAUUAUCAUCUUUCGUGAAGUUAUCACUAACUCUAACUGACUGAGGUCUGUGGUUUCCAAACUUGAGUACUUGAGGGAGAAGGUUUCUAUAGCCCAUAAAUGAUUCUGGAGUGUCAACUGAUCCAUUUUCAUUGAUUCCAAUCCCUACUUUCUUGUCAAACAUUAUGUGCUUAAAUUGCUGUAACUUGCUGAUAGAAGAUGGGCUUCUUCUGCUAGCAGCAUUAUCUAACUUCGCUAGAAUUUCCUCACGACGAUAAGCACCAUUUUGGAGCUUAUUCCAUGCAUAAUCAAAAACUUCAAGGAGCUUGGCCUCUGCCCUCUCGGCUACUACUUUGUUAGUCAUCUGUUCAAAUUCAAGAUCUUGAUUAGACUGGAACAACUUAAAUUAAAAACACCUAAAUAGCACAUAGUUAGACGUGGGAAAAGGUAAAAAGGUAGAAUUAUAGGAAAAAGAAAUUAUGCACAAUAAAUUUGUCUACAAAGAGUAAUGGAAGUAUCACUCUGAGAAAAAAAAACAAAAAAGGGUCAUAGUCACUGAAUACUGAAAACAAUAAUAUCAAUCAAAAAGGUGCCUACUUAUAUGGAUUAAAAAAAAAAAUCAAGUAUUUGUAAUAAUUGAUAGUUUCUGUCAGUCUGUUCAGGAUAAUCAGUUUUUCAAAAGAUCAUUAAACUUGGGUUUAAAUCAUUUGUAAGUUACUAAAAUUUUGGAUCUUGUUCAUAUUCGAGAUUUGUAGUACAGUCUCUAGGUUUCAGUGUGAUUUCAGUCUUAAUUUAGUUCACCAAGGAGAUUAUCAAUGAUAAAUUAGUGGAAUGUGAAACUCGAGUUCUAAUUUAUACUGAUUUGAAUGUGAUUUUCUAAAUUAUUAAAAUUUUGCAGAACUACUGUUUAUAAAAUAUAGUGAAAACAACAAAAUCAAUUAUUUAUAUCUUUGUUAUUAUAUAAUUAGGAGUUGAUCAAGCAUGAAUAUUAGUUAAUAGUUUCUUUGCUAGUGUGCUUUAUAAUGUUUUAUUUCUAUAAUCUUCACUCAAUUUUGUUUUAAAUAUUACCACCUUAUAAAGAUCUGAGAUUGACACCAAAACUAAUCCAGUCUCUUCAUUUGACAACUACAUGGGCUUUAACUAUCUGGGGUGCUGAUAAUUUCUUCAAACAGAUCAGUCACAUGUUUUAGGAGCUACAAUUUAAGUUCUGAUGGCAUUCUAUUCCAUCAUGGGAGAGACAAUCCGUCAUAGCAUACAAUUGAUUAAAUCACAUUAUGAAGCUCUACAAGUUGAAGAUCCAAAUCCAGUAAAUUAGAUUCUUUAGGAUUAGUCUGUAUUUGGCUUUUUUUUGGCUCAAGUACAAUUCAAAGAAAAAUAAAUAAUUUAAGUUGCUAGACUCUGUCAUGAUGUGUUUUCCAAGCGAAGAAGAAUUAAGUGUUUGUUUUGGAUCUGCUUGAGACUUAACUGUAAGAGAAGGCAGAGUACUCACUAACAAGCCUUGAAGCACUUACGACAAUAAAAUAAUUAUUAAAGAGUAGUUUAAAGUCGUCAUUUAGUUAAUAUAUCUAAUCAAUAAAAAUAGGCCAACAUCCCCAAUAGGCCAACGUCCCCCCUUUUAUCUCUCCUGUCCAGAAAGGGUGUGACUGACCCAGCUUUCUUGUGCAAAGUGGGAUCAAAUAUUUUUGUAAUUUAUGUAGUAAGAUGUCGGGCUUUAUUCGAUACAGGGGUAUCCCACUCAUUCAUCAGUCGGUCCUUUACUAUUACUCAUGGGGUAGACAUAAUAGAGGUCAUGCAUAGUUGAUAGGUUCAAGUUCCUGAGCAUGCUUUUUAUGUUACGGACAUAUGACUCGCCUGCUGUUUACGGAUAGGUGACUAGAUUAUACUGGCGAUCUUGCUAGUGUUAAAGCAAAUGAAAGGAUUCUACCUAGCCUUGGAGGUCUCCAAAUAUUAUGCAACCAUUGAUUGCGAGAGCCGAGUCGUGACUUUCUGUAAACCUGCCCAAGAUGAGCUUAUAUAUCGAGGCUGCAGGAGCUCGCUCUUCGCUAGUACUGUAUCCACGUCGCGUGCGAAGAAAUUGAUUAAUAGUAGCUGUGUGGCCUACUUAGCGACGGUGGUAGGGGACCGAAAGGAAAUUCCAAUGCUCGAGAAUAUUCAUAUAGUUCAAGAAUUUUCGGAUGUUUUUCCUGUCGAAUUGCCAGGAAUGCCACCGGACCAGGAGAUUGAGUUCGUAAUAGACUUGAUUGAUGAUUCCCGGGCCGUGCCAAUUUCGAAGACUCCAUAUUGGAUGGCACCGACUGAGUUGAAGGAGCUAAAGGCUCAGCUACAAGAUCUGUUGAAUAAAGACUUUAUCAAACCAAGUGUAUCACCUUAGAAAACCCCGGUACUAUUCAAUAUUCAUGAAGAAGAAGGACAAUUGACUUCAGUUGUGUGUUGAUUACUGUGAGCUGAACAGAGUUACGAUAAAAAAUAAGUAUAUGUUGCCCCGUAUUGAUGACUUGUUUGAUCAGCUUCAAGGGUCUUGGGUGUAUUUUAAGAUAGAUCUUUAGUCCGAGUAUAACCAAUUGAAGAUCAAACCGGAGAAUUUGCAUAAGACUGUGUUUCGAACGCGGUAUAGGCAUUACGAAUUCACGGUGAUGUAGAUUAGGCUCACUAAUGCCGGGCUCACUAAUAUCCCAGCGGCGUUUAUAGACUUAAUGAACUGUGUUUUUAAGCCCUUUCUAGACCGAUUUGUCGUAGUAUUGAUUGACGACAUGAAAAAGCAUGAAAGAGCAUUUAAGAUUAGUGCUGCAAGUUCUUUGGAGAAACAAGCUUUAUGUCAAGUUUAAAAAGUGCGACUUCUGGAUCCGUGAGGUCGCCUUCUUGGGUUAUGUGAUUUCAAAAAGUGGGUUAUCAGUGGACCUAAAAAAAAAAUGAAGCUAUUAAAGAUUGGCCCCGACCGACAAACAUAACCAAGGUCCAUACUUUUCUCGGUCUUGCGGGGUAUUAUCAGCAGUCUGUUGUGGGAUUUUACAAAAUCGCCACUCCAUUAACACGCCUUACCCGCAACGGAACCAUAUUUAUUUGGGCGAUGAUUGCGACCAAAGUUUGAAAAAGUUGAAGGACAAGUUGACCACAGCUCCAACUCUCACUCUGCCCGUUGUGAAAGAGGAAUUGGUGGUGUAUAGUGAUGCACUGGACUGGAGAAUGGUAUGGUGUGCGUGCUUAUACAGCAUAGGCUGGUCAUUGCUUAUGCCUCUUACCAAUUAAAGAAUUAUACGAAAAAUUAUCUAACCCAUGACUUGGAGCUAACAGUCGUGGUUUUCGCACUUAGGUUGUGAAGACAUUAUUUGUAUGAGGAACAUUGUGAGGUUUAUACGAAUCAUAAGAGCCUAAAAUAUCUAUUCACUCAAAAGGGGUUGAAUCUGAGGCAGCAUAAGUGGUUAGAACUACUAAAAGACUAUAAUGUGACUAUUUUGUACUAUUUGGGAAGAGCCAACGUGGUGACAGAUGCGCUCAGCAAGAAGUCCAUGGAGAAUCUCGCGACGAUGAUCACGAUUCAGCCACAGUUGCUUAUGAAAAUGCGGCGAUUUGACUUAAAAGUCGUAGCUCUGGGCGCCCCCACAACACUCAUAUGACCUAAGUAAUUUGACCGACCUUAUUGAGGAUAAAAAGGAACAGUCUUCGGACCCAGAGCUCCAAAAAGUGCGGGGCGAUAUUGAGAGUGGGCAAGCCGGCUAGUUAGGUUGGAUUCGGAAGGCACUCUUCUAUUCGGAAACCGAUUAUGUGUGCCCAAGGACGAGAAAAUUCAUGAGAAAAUACUAAGAGAAGCUCAUCAAUCUCCCAACACUAUUCAUCCAAGUGGCACCAAAAUGUACAAAGACUUGAAGAUGCAUUAGUGGAAGCUGGGAAUGAAAAAGGAUAUAGGACGUUUUGUGACACAAUGUCUAAUGUGCCAACAGGUGAAAGCAGAACAUCAUUUCCCCGCGCGUAAGCUUCAAAAUUUGCCGAUUUUCGUGUGGAAGUGGGAGAGUAUCUUGAUGGAUUUCGUUGUGGGAUUAUCUCGAUCACAAGGAAGCCUUGAUACAAUUUGGGUGGUGGUGGACCGUUUGAUGAAGUCGGCUCAUUUCUUGCUAAUCCACACCACGUGGUCAAGGGAUAAGUUAGCACAACUGGACGGUGAUCUUGUUAAUGGCUCGACUGUCAACACACAUUUGCUACGUUCCAUAUUUUUUUUGGUGUAAGGAGGGCAAGCACUGCGACAGGGCUCAUAGUCUCUCUAAUGUAACCUUUUUGUAGAAGUUCAUAAACCUGCCCACAUAACUCUUCAUGUUCAGUAGGACUUAUCCGAUAAUGGGCUAGAUGUGGAGUGCUUGCACCAAGUACAAAAUCUAGACAGUGUUGGAUGUUUGUCAUGGGUAGAAAGCCAUCGGGGAGUUCCUUAGGCAUGAUAUCAGAAAUUUCAUUCAGCAAUGGUUGAACAGCUCGAGCUCGAGGAACUUCAGUGUUCUCAGAUAUUUCUUUUGCUAAAAGGAUAGAUACUAUUGGGGACUUUGUUUAGAUCUUUAGAGAAUUGACUUUUGUUCAAAACACUCAUUUUCUGUUCAUCAGUGAAGGGUUGUUAGCGAACUUUUCCAGUUUAGGCUUUAGUUUGGAUAAGUAAUUUAAAGGAAUAAAUCUAACUUUCUUAUUGUCCAUUGUGACUAUAUAAGCCCUAGUCAUAUAUAGUGCUACAAUCAAAUUGCCAAGGUCUAACUAACAAUAGGUGAUUCACAUCCAUGGGAACAACAUUACACCAAAUCUUAUCAGUAUAAGUUUUCUUAAUAGAAAAUUCAACAAGACAUCUCUUUGUUACCAGAAACUCACCUCAAUCCUUAAACCAUGUUAUUUUGUAGGGUUGAGCAAGUUUUCCGGUCUUCAGUUUGAGGUUAUUAACCAUUUCUUUAGAGACGAUUUUCAAUACUCCCACUAUCAAUGACAGAAGAGCAAAACUAACACCCUACGCUAUAGAUGAAUCUAAAAAGGCUACGACGCUUUCAAUCAUCUUGGGUGGACUUAGAGACUGAUAGGACUUGAUGGAUCAAGAGAUUUGUUUCAUUCGCAUCGAAAAAUUCUUCAGAAAUCUCAUCUACAUCUUCUUGUUCUACAGUUUCUUCCCAUUUUCAUUUUUUUCCUGAUUUUCUAUUAGACUAGCUCUAGAAUUAAAUGUUUUCAAAAGGAAAUAAGAGGAUUUAUGUCCCGGUUUGUUAAUUUAUAACAAAUGACGCUAGAAUCUAGGGCUGGCAAAUGAGCAAGCCGGCUCGUGUUCGACUCGCGUUCGGCUCGAUAUUUGGCUCGCUCGAGCUCGGCUCAAAUUAAUUUCAAGCCAACUUUGAGCCUAAAUUUAGGCUCGAAAUUAAUUUCAAGCCAAGCUUGAGUACUACCGGACUCGCUCGAAUUAGCCUCGAAAAGCUCGAUAUAUAUAUAUAUAUAUAUAUAUAUAUAUAUAUAUAUAUAUAUAUAUAUAUAUAUAUAUAUAUAUUUAUNUAUAUAUAUAUAUAUGUGUAUACAUAUAUGUAUACACAUAUAUAUAUA
rnacentral:lncRNA from 1 species